rnacentral:lncRNA from 1 species
AUGCUAAUCUGUAUCUUAAUAAUAAAACUCUAGCAUGGAUAUGAUGAAUAGUUGCUCUGCCUAAUUUGCACAUUUUAAGUUCUCUCUCAAGUUUAGACAUUACUGUUAUAAUUUAAAUCUUGCUUUAGACCUAAACUUGUGGGAUGAAAACUUAAUCUGAAGUCUAAGUUGUUAACGGAUAUGAUAUGGGAAGGUUGAGCUGCUGUUUAUCUGUUUCUAGAGAUGCUAGAAUUCUGGAGAAUUUUAUCUUUGAAAAUCUUUAAAAUAUUGCAUGAUGAGUUCCUGUAUGAUGAGAGUUUAAAUUCCUACCACAGCCAUAUAUACAUGCUUGCUAGACUUUGAGCCACACAUUUAAUAUUUACUGCUUAUGAGCAUUGAGUGUGGUCAAGCUGUGUAGACCCUUAGGAGCUUGUCAUGUGGUUAAAUCAAGAUUCACUUGCACGUUCACUCAUAUAUGCUACUUCUAUUCCGGAAGUACCAUCCACAUAUAUCCACCCAUUUCCAUCUCAAAAUCACCCAAAAAUAUUCUACUCCUAAUCCGGGAGAGAAUAGCCAAAAAUAUUUUUGUUUUUCCCUUGUGAAAUAAAUGCUCAAGUUAUCUUGUUACUACCACUUGCUAUAUUAUCUCAAGAUAUGAGUGCUCUAAAAAAAAUAAAGACGAGGAAAUAAAAAGGAGCAAGUGCUCCGAACCUCGAAAGAAAAGAAAAAAAAGUGAGACGAGAGGUAAAAAUGGACAAGUGUCCGACAGUAGAAUUAGGAGCACUAGAUACCCACCCGAGAGAAAAGAAAAAGAUAGAGCAUCUCACUCUCCUCAUAAAGUUUCAAAAAGCAAGGAAGGUAUGUAUCCCCUCAAAAGAGCAAAAGUAGAAUUAGACUUCCACCAUCGUUAUCACCAUCAUCACCAUACAUCAUUCAUUCGCCACACAUGCACAUCUUGAUUUGACUUAUUGAUUUGUUUCUUUGGAUCCAUGGUUUGACUAUGCAAUAAAUGUCUUGUAAGUAUGUAUACUUUAUCUCCCACCUAUGAGCUCCAGAUAUUAAAGCCUUAUUAGAGUAGGGUGAGAGAGAAGGCAAUGUCACUAUGCUUUAUACCACAAAUACUACAUAUCUUGAGAGAAGGCAUAUACCAUCACAGCCUUGGUAAGGAUCCAGAAAUACCACAAAAGAGAGAUCUGAGAGAAUCAUACAAGGAAUCUCUGAGUUUUAUUUGAAAAUCUGCAAAAACACCAGAGCUAUAGCUGAUCAAGAAUAAGAGACAUGGCACUUGGCUAGACUGUUCUAUCUUUUAACUACUCAAGAUAGAAGUGACGGUUACAAGUCCCAUGGUGAAGGUAAAGUCAGUAAGUUUUAAGUCUUGAUAGUUUACUCUCACUCAGAGAUGAGAUCUUAUUUAAAAAGCAUGUGUACCGUCAAUUUUUGAAAAUAUUGCAACAACUUAUGAUCCAUAGCUGAGUCUAUCCUUGCUCAGGGACGAGCAAGAGGUAAGCUUGGGGGAGUUUGUUGACGGUCCUUAAGUAUUCAAUUUAAUUAUCAAAGAAACAAAGAAAAGGAUCCAAAUGAAAUCAACAUCUAGACUUAGGGUUUUAUCUGACAGAAUUCCACGAGUUUUGGUGUUUGUCUAUUUCUGCAGGGGGUUAUCAGGAAAUAAGGAAGAAAGGCCUACACGUCGGGAUUACAUAAAGAUAUUAACGUGCCGCGCAAUUAUCUUACAUCUAGAAGACUCCAGAAGCCACGAGACCGAAGCGGAGGCGAAAUGGGGCCUGACCCUGGGCGCCCGUCCAGGAGAUCAGGGCGCCCGCCCACCUCCUGAGUCCAAUCAGGACUCUGCUUCGUGGGAGAUCUCCACCGACCUAAAGGAUGAAUCUAAACCAUACAAUCUAUGUCGGUUUGAUCCAACGGCCCAUAUUCACUUGAAGGGACUAUAAAACCAGACCCCUUGGCCCCUGGAGGAGAGAGCCUCUCAACCCUAAUUCAUUGUUCCUCAAGGGAGAAGAAGCCUCUGAUCAAGAUUAGAGCCACCACAUCAAUUAGAUAUCUAGAUUAGCAUAGCUACAUAGGAUUAGAACUAGAAGGAGUCAAUCUUCGAUUGGUUUCUGGAUCUGUCAGGAGGAUUCUUGGUAAUUCUCUAAUUGUGCUUCUAAUUGCUUUCUAAUUAUCUUUGUUCUUCAAUAUUAUGAAUAUGACUUUGUUCUACUUCAAUAUAUUGCUUAUGAAUUUGCUCUACUUGCUUAUAUUCAAGAUUAUAUUGUUCUUAGUUUAUCAUAGUUAUGUACUUGGCUUAGUUAGAUUGGAUCUAUAUACAUGCUUAGGAUCGUAUAGCGUUUAUCCAUCAGAUCCAUGGGUAAAUGAUAGAUAUUGUGUAGGCGUGGUGCUUGUACCGUACUUAUCUGCGAUUGUACCCAAUAUGCCAGAUCGUGGGGUAGUUCGUGAUAGUGACAGCUUCAUUGAUUCUUAUAUAGUCCCCCUCUCGUGUAUUGGGCUGGCAGAGCAACAUUAUUACAGGGGAGUGAUUGCUAUGUUUCUCAUAUUCCUUGCUAAUAUCACUAUGCAUGGGCGUAGUCUUGUCUCACAAUGAUUGCUAAGUAUGCUUGCACUAAUUAUGAUAAUGCUAGACUAUAUAGUUGAGAAUAACUUAGGGAAUAUUCUUGUAGUUCGUUCUAAUACCAUGCUAAUGACUUUCUAAAGUAUCUAAUUGAGGUGCUUAUCAUAUUUAUAUGUGGCUAGAUCAGAUUAGUUAUCCUUGUCACUAUUAUUAUUUCAUAUAUCUUUUAUGUGACACUUAUCCCUGUAUGAAGAGUUAGAUAUAAUGUUCUCAAUUAUACAUGCAAUGAUAGAUGCUCAAUCUCAUAUUCUAUUCUGUAAUCAAUAGUGAUGAUUGCUAAUCCCUUCCCAGUGGUAAAAAUAUAAAUAACGAUACCUGGAAUACUUCCCAGUUAAAAUGCUGCAUCGGUAUUAAUCUGUGCGCUUGCAGAUCCUAUUCAUUAUUUAUUUAGAAGAGCAAUUGCAUAUUUCAAUACCGCGUCUCUUAUAUCAUGCUGGGGAUGACAACUUGGCUUAAGUGGUGUGAGGGAUAGGUUUGGCAUUUUUGGCACCAUUACUAGAUUUAGAGAACUUAGUCUACUUUUGGUAAUGAUGUUAUGAAUACCCAACAGUCACAAACUAACACAAGCUUAGGAAACAUAAUUAAGCAAGUUAAAUCACAUUUUUACAUAGAAUGACAUGACUCAAGGUAGAUUAUGAUCAUGAUAUGCUUAAGUCGAUGAUGAUGCUUAUGUUAUGCAUGUGAUUGAUGAAUCCAUAACACUGGGGUGUUACAGCCCUCCCCCCUUACACAAAUCUCGUCCCGAGAUUUGGAAGCUUACUGAUUUUCGAAGAAUGUUUUGUAAACUUCUCUUAAAUAAACCUCUGUUUCCCAAGUGGCAUCUUCCUCCCCGUGGUUACUCCACAACACUUUGUAGAACUUAACCACACGAUUACGAGCCACUCGUUCCUUGCGGUCAAGAACCGCUACAAGUUUCUCCUUGUGCACCAAGUAAGACUUCAACUUGAUAUCCCGAACUUCCACUCGCUCUUCCGGAACACGAAGGCAUUUCUUCAAUUGUGAUACGUGAAAGACAGGAAAAAUAGCUCGAAGUUCAAUUAGGAGUUGAACUUUGUAUGCUACGUUCCCUUUUCUCUCGAGAAUCCGAUAAGGCCCCACGUAACGUGGUGCAAGCUUUCGCUUGACUCCGAACCUUUGUACGCCUUUUAACAGAGAGACCUUGAUAUACACAUGGUCACCGACUGCGAACUCAAUCGGCUUCCUUCUCUUAUCAGCAUAACUUUUCUGACGAGCUUGAGCAGCUUCCAGAUGCUGCUAGAUGGUACGGACUUGCUGCUCUGCUUCGUUCACGAAAUCGAUGCCAUAAUACCUUCGUUCCCUGGAUUCCACCCAAUUCAACGGGGUUCGACACUUUUGACCAUACAGGGCUUCAAAUGGAGCCAUCUUAAUGCUCUCUUGGUAACUAGCUAACGACAACCACUUUACCCAAGAACCUUUUGAGGAGAGAGCACAUGCCCUCAACAUGUCUUCUAGGAUUUGGUUGACCCGUUCAGUUUGGCCGGCCGUUUGGGGAUGAUAUGCCGAACUACGAACCAAGUGAGUACCAUUCUGCUCAUGGAGACACUCCCAAAAAUGGGCAGUGAACUGUGGUCCACGAUCUGAGAUGAUAGUUCGAGGCACACCAUACUGAUGGACAAUGUGCUCGAAGUACAACUCCGCAUACUGAUGUGGACAAUAAUCAGUUCGAACUGGAAUAAAACGAGCAACCUUGGUCAAACGGUCGACAAUUACCCAGAUAGAGUCGUAACCCUUAACAGAAGUUGGGAGCCCAACGAUGAAAUCCAUACUGACUUCUUCCCAUUUCCAACCAGGAAUUGACAAGGGUUGAAGUAAGCCUGCUUUCAUGUGAACCGCCUUCACACGACAACAGUUGUCACAACGAGCGACAAAAGCAGCAAUCUCCUUUUUCAUCUUGGUCCACCAGAAUAGAGGUUUCAGGUCCUGAUACAUCUUGCUACUACUAGGAUGGAUAGACAACUGGGAUGAAUGAGCUUCAGAUAAGAUCUGAUUCUGCAGCUCACGGUCUUUUGGGACCACAAGUCGAUCCUUGAACCAUAGAAUUCCGUUCUCAUCGACCCGGAAAUGCUUGGUUUCUUCUUCUUUUAUUUUCCUCUUUAUAUGGUAGAUGCCUACAUCGGUUUGCUGCAAUUCGAUGACUCGAUUGCGAAGAGAACUUUCCAGAGAAAUCUGGUUGAGCACAAGUGGGUGCAUAAGAUGUGACAAUAAUGGAUCUUCCAUCUGAACUGAAUGACAGUGUGCUUUCCGACUCAAGGCAUCCGCAACUACGUUUGUCUUACCCGGAUGGUAGUGCACUUGAAGAUUAUAGUCUUCAAUCAACUCAAGCCACCGUCGCUGUCGCAUGUUCAAUUCAGGUUGAGUGAAGAUGUACUUGAGACUCUUAUGAUCAGUGUAGAUAUUGCAUAGAUUACCCAAUAAAUAGUGCCUCUAGAUUUUCAAAGCAUGGACAACUGCAGCCAAUUCUACUUCAUGAGUAGGGUAAUUGACCUCAUGCUUUCGAAGUUGGCAUGAGGCAUACGCAAUAACGCGACCUUCUUGCAUCAACACACAGCCUAUGCCGAUACCCGACGUGUCACAAAAGACAUCGAAGGGCUUCUCGAUAUCAGGUUGAGCUAGGACAGGAGCUGAUGUUAGCAAUGUCCUCAACUUAUGGAAUGCCUCUUCACAUUCAGGCGUCCACACAAACUUCUCAUCCUUCUGAAGUAGGCGAGUCAAAGACUUUGAUAUUUUUGAAAAUUCCAGAAUGAAUCGACGAUAAUACCCAGCCAGACCGAGAAAACUCCGAACCUCGUGCACCGAAGUUGGAACCUUCCAAUCCAGCACUUCUUGCACCUUAGCUGGAACCACCGAUAUACCUUCUUCAGAUAAGACAUGGCCCAAGAAAGGUACUUUCUUCAGCCAAAACUCGCAUUUGCUGAACUUAGCAUAAAGCUGAUACUCACGCAAGCGUGACAACACUACACGCAGAUGCUCCGCGUGCUAUCCUUCAUUGCGAGAAUACACUAAGAUGUCAUCAAUGAAGACCACCACAAACUUGUCUAAUUCAGGCAUGAACACCGAAUUCAUGAGAUACAUGAAGUGAGUAGGUGCAUUCGUAAGACUGUUGGGUAUUUUAAACGCAAAUAGAAAAAUCCGCAAGCGCACGGAUAGCCUUCACCCGGGAGUAUUCCAGAGUAUCGAUUUUCGACAAGGAACGUGAGUGUACUAAUUAAGAUCCAAGAUCGCCCAAAGAUAACUAUAUAAUUAUUUUUGGUCGGAAGAGAGGAAGUUUCCUGAGAGUUCUCUAGUUAAUUUAAGAAUAAAAAAUUACUUCAAGAUUAUCUAUUUCGGGACAUCAGAACACUAACCACAGAAAGAGAUGAGAAUGGGGCUAGGAAGCUCUGACUACAGUCCUACAAACACCGAUCCGAACGAGGUGGAAUACGUCGACCGUUAGGGCUGUUACUACCCUAGGGCUACCACAACAAUCCGCAGGAUUGAGUGCAAUUCCAGGUAAUUGCAAGACUAAACACCACGUCUAAUCUAUUAAUUACUACUCUAAUGUUGCAAAGAUUAGAGCACUUGAUGCAAGCGGGAAUCCAAUAAAUAACUUCAAUGUAAAUAAAAGUAAUUAAAGAACUCAGGAUUGAUGAAUUGAAGAACCUGGAGAACGAUGAAGAACGAACCAGUUGCUGCAAAAGUACAAUGUUGAGGAAGAUCUGACAGAUUCGGCUCCUCCUCCUCCGCUCUCCUCUUCUCUCUCCCUAUUUUCUAGAUUACAACUAGAACUAACUAGAACUAGAACUAGAGGAACUAGAACUAGAACUAGAUGAACUAGAACUAGAACUUGAUGAACUAGAGGUAGAACUAGAGGAACUAGAGGGAUCCUCUCUACUUGGAUGAAGAAUUGAAACCCUAGCUUUGAUUCUGUAGAAGAGGUAUGAUCUCCAAGGGACAGGGGCCUUGCUUAUAUAGUCUUUUCAGAUGAAUCUGGGCCGUUGGAUCAAACCGACAUUGAUUGAAUGGUUAUCCUUGAUCCUUUAGGUCGGUGGAGCACGAUCCCGAAAGAGAGUCCUGAUUGGACUCAGAAGGUGGGCGGGCGCCCAGGAGAGUAGGGCAGGCGCCCUGCCUCCGAGCCCGAUCGCCUUCUCGUUCGUUCCCGUGGCUGUUGAUAUUUGGUAACGCAAUUAGAAAAUGAUCUGCAAGCGCACGGAUAUCGGUGAGCAUUUCACCCGGGAGGUUAUCCAGAGUUAUCGUAUUUAUAUUUUUACCACUGGGAGAAAGGGUGCAUCUGACUAACCAAAUCUAUUGCUACUACCCCUUUAGGCUACAAAGAAUGUCUCUCGAUGUGAGUGAUAUAUAGAGAAGACUGCAACCGUAGUCUCGUUCUAACCUUAAUAAGGAUGAUCAACUGUUCUAUUGGGGAGGCUCACAGAAUCUAGACAACACAAAGGAUGUUCGACCCGCACCUAUAAACCUACCCGUCCCGCUAACGAGAUGUGGUCUGCAAAGGUAACUCGGAAAUGUCACGUUCCUCGCUACUACCACGGUCCAGCUAGUCAGGGGAUAUCUAUGAGUACCCUAGCCUAAACACCACAUUUACGCUAACAAGUGAUUACUCUAAUACUCAACCGGAAGAGGAUUAAAGUAAACUCAUAAACCAAAGAACAAUAAAACAAGAACUUACUAGUAUUAGAAGUCGAAUUACUGAAGAAUCUUAGAAGCAAGCCUCGGGUUAGGAGACUUGAUCCCGCAGGUACAACUCGGAGUAGACACCGACAGGUCGGCCUUCCUCCGAUCCACACCUCCACUCUAUCUCUCUCAAUCUAGUAGAAACUAGAAGAUCUAUUUCUACCUUACAUUGGUUGCUAAGCCUAAAAAGAAAUAUUAUUUAGAGAAGAGGUUUUCCUUCGAGGGCACCCCUCAAUCUCUAUGAUAAUUUCUUGUCUCCUCCAGGGCCAGAGGGGGUCUCCUUAUAUAGUCCUCCCUUCUAUGCGUUUUUGGGUCGAUAGGCGAGGUGGUACUAUGUUAUUCUGGAUCCAAUAGGUCGGUGGAACGUCGUGUGCGAAGAGAGUCCGAAACGGAGUCCAGAGGGGGGCGGGCGCCCAGGUCCUCAGGGCGGGCGCCCUGGGCCUGGCCCCUUUCGGGCUCCGCUUCCUUCCCGUGGCUUCUGGAGUCUUCUAGAUGGUAGAAAAUUGCGCGAUGGGUUGAUAUCUCUAUGUAAUCCCAACAUGUGGGCCUUUCUUCCUUAUUUCCUGAUAACCCCCUGUAGAAAUAGACAAACACCAAAACUCGUGGAAUUCUGUCGGAUAAAACCCUAAGUCUAGAUGUUGAUUUCAUUUGGAUCCUUUUCUUUGUUUAUUUGAUAAUUAAAUUUGAUACUUAAGGACCGUCAACAAACUCCCCCAAGCUUACCUCUUGCUCGUCCCUGAGCAAGGAUGAACUCAAGAGUUUCUGCAGUGGUUUCAUUUCUUAGAAGUACACACGCAUUUAAGCAAGAUCUCAUCUCUGAGUUAGAAUAAACUAUUAAGACUUAAAACUUACUUACUUUACCUACACCAUAGGACUUGUAACCGUCACUUCUGUCUUGAGUGGUUAAAAGAUAGAACAGUCUAGCCAAGUGCCAUGUUUCUUAUUCUUGAUCAGCUAUAGCUCUGGGGUUUUUGUAGAUUUUCAAAUAAAACUCAGAAAUUCCUUGUAUGAUUCUCUCAGGUCUCUCUUUUGUGGUAUUUUUGGAUGCUUACCAAGGCAGUAAUGGUAUAUGCCUUCUCUCAAGAUAUGUAGUAUUUGUGGUAUGAAGCAUAGUGACAUUGUCUUCUCUCUCACCCUACUCUAAUAAGGCUUUAAUAUCUGAAGCUCAUAGGUGGGAGAUAAAGUAUACAUACUUACAAGACAUUUAUUGCAUAGUCAAACCAUGGAUCCAAAGAAACAAAUCAAUAAGCCAAAUCAAGAUGUGCAUGUGUGGUGAAUGAAUGGUGUAUGGUGAUGAUGGUGAUAACAAUGGUGGUGGAAGUCUAAUUCUACUUUGCUCUUUGAGGGGAUACAUACCUUCCUUGCUUUUGAAACUUUAUGAGGAGAAUGAGAUGCUCUUCUUUUUCUUUUCUUUCGAGGUUCCGAGCACUUGCUCCUUUUUAUUUCCUCGUAUCUUUUAUUUUCUUUUUCUCUCUUUUUUUUCAGAGCAUUCAUCUCUUGAGAUAAUAUAGCAAGUGGUAGUAACAAGAUAACUUGAGCAUUUUUUUCACAAGGGGAAACAGAAAUAUUUUUGGUUAUUCUCUCCCGGAUUAGGAGUAGAAUACUUUUGGGUGGUUUUGGAGAUGGAAAUGAGUGGAUAUAUGUGGAUGGUAGUUCCGGAGUAGAAGUAGCAUGUAUGAGUGAACGUGCAAGUGAAUCUUGAUUUAACCACAUGACAAGCUCCUAAGGGUCUACACAGCUUGACCACACUCAAUGCUUAUAAGCAGUAAAUAGUAAAUGUGUGGCUCAAGGUCUAGCAAGCAUGUAUAUAUGGUUGUGGUAGGAAUUUAAACUCUCAUCAUACAGGAACUCAUCAUGUGUUAUUUUAAAGAUUUUUCAAAGAUAAAAUUCUCCAGAAUUCUAGCAUCUCUAGGAACAGAUGAACAGCAGCUCAACCUUCCCAUAUCGUAUCCGUUAACAACUUAGACUUCAGAUCAAGUUUUCAUCCCACAAGUUUAGGUCUAGAGCAAGCCUUAAAUUAUAACAGUCAUAUCUAAACUUGAGAGAGAACUUCAAAUUUGCAAAUUAGGCAGAGCAGCUAUUCAUCAUAUCCAUGCUUAAGUUUUAUUAGAUACAGAUUAGCAUAGCCACUUUAUUUAUUUAUUAAACACACUAAGCAAAAUACAUAUAAGCAUAAAAUCUUUAUUUGGUUUUUCAUAGUUAUGUGUAUUUAUAUUCUAAUAUAGUAUAAGUAUAAAGAUAGAUAGAAAUACUUAUCGAGAUAAAUGGGGGUGCUCUCCCCCAAGCUGAAUUUUGACGUAAUUUCUCUUGAUGUAGCUAGCAGGUGGCAGAGGUGUGUUUAAAAGUCAGCAGUAUUUUGACAGCGAUUAGAAUGUCCUCCGUCUGCUAGUCUUCUUGAUUCUUAAAUUCUGUGGAGCUCAAAUAGACAACAAAGCUUGUGGAACUGAUUAAGUGUUAGCAUAAAUAUCUAGCCUUUAUCAUGUUGAGACUCCUUAAUAAAUAUUACUCCCUGUUUUUAUAUUUUUGUUUUUAUAAAGCAGAAAAAUAUUUAUUUUAUUUUUAUGCCACCACAGUGAAUGUACUUAUGGGUUUUAUGCCACUCGUCUACUCACAUGGGGCUUACAGUUUUUUUCACAUUUUUAUUUUCUUUCUAGGAUAAUACGAACAUGAUUAACUAAGUAAACUAUUUGAAAUAAUUAAAAGGGAAAGGAUAAGUUUACCUUUUGGCAAGGCGUUCGGUGUUUUUAAGUCCUCCGAACGGGACUCUCUGUGUUUUCAGUCGUCCUGGGAUUCGCUAGGUGGCGUAGUUGGUGAUUCUGGUGGCGCCUCCUCUUUGUGUAUAACUAUGUUCUCUUUCCACACCUGACUCGGUGCUACGGUCUCCUCAGGACAGUUCUGUUCAAGUUGUAUGUCUUCAGUCCUUAUCACUUCUCCUUCGUAGUCUACCCAUCCAUCCUUGAUGAUUUGCCUCCUCUGGUUGCGGUUGCGUUAUCUUCUUCUUGUCUUGACCUGCUUAGAAUCUUCAACUAUAUAGUUAGGGUCAGUAAAACAGCGGCAUACCUUCUUAGAGGAGAAGUGUAUGUGGACUUCUCCGGUUCCAAUAUAGAUGAUGGCUUUUGAUAGUGCUGAGGAACUGUCUUCCAAGAAUGGUGAGUGGAUCAUACUCGUCUUCUCCCAUGUCAAUGACCUGAAAAUCAUCUGGAGCUGAAUGUAUAUUGGUUGUAGGGGCAUGGUUCCAUGCAGGAGCUGAUAAGUGACUGCGGCCAUUAUGUUGUCGUUAGAUCUGAUGUCGUAGAGUGUCUUCUGAAAGGAGUAUCUGUUGAUUGUGCACUCAAUGCUUGGAACAUCAGGGUCGUCUUUCUUGAUCAGGAAGGGCGACUUGAGUCGAUGAUUUUGACCUCCUCUGAACUGCAGUGACCAUCUUAGCUGACUCGGUCCACAUUUGCUUAUUCCUGUUCCUCCUGUUGGUCCUCUUCCUUGGUUCAUGUCGGGAUUGCUCUGAAAUUUGUGUAGUCUUGUUCUUGAAGGAAAGUCUCCUUCUUCCCCUUGAUGUAGAGACUGAUCUUGGCAGCAUUAGCGUAGAUGACAGCUCUAAUGUUUAGGAAUGGCCUCCCUAAGAUGAUGGGUGCCCUCUCCUCAGUACCAGUCUCUAUCACCAUGAAGUCUGCUAGAGCAUACAAGGUACCAACUCGGACGCAGAGGUUCUUCAAUAUUUCCUCUGGGAAACUGAGUGUCCGAUCUGCAACCCUGGGCAUAAUGUUGACGCUGGAGCCAAAGUCGCAGAGUGCUUCUGGGAAGUCCACCAUGCCGAUGGAGAUCGGGAUGACGGGACGUCCUAGAUCACCUCUCUGAGUAAUUAGGCCUCUGUUGAUUCCAACCUUGAUGUUGUUGAGGAUGGUUGUAGUAAUAGUUGUUAUUGUUGUUGAUGUAGUUCACGUCCUCAAGCAUCUUAGGGCAGUGAUUGCCUGAGCGUCCAGUAUCUCCAGUGUGUUUAUGCUCGUAGAUCCUAGUUCUUCACUUGGUGGAAUCUGGGAGUUGUAAAACUCCUUCAUAUUAUGCUCGAAGUGUUCCUGCUCAUAGAAACAAGGUAGAGAUCAAGUGCAUGGGCCCUGUUGGUGGAAAACACCAACAGAACCAAAAGUGUAUUUGUUCUUCUCUAACCUUAAGCAUAGUGAGCAAGACAAAGUUGAUGGAUCAUGAGUGUAGCAUUUGUCAGAUCAGAUGGCUCAACCUAAUGGAAAGAUAAUCUAUCUAUAUUUAUGUUUUGUUUAUAUCUUCCAAAGAUUGCAUGUGCAAUACUUUAGCUUAUAUGAUUAGGAGUGUGGGGUCACGAAGGUAGUACUAAGAACAAAGAUUAAAGGACUAAACAUGUUGAAUUAAUUGAGUUGGUUAAUUUGGAGUUAUAAAUCAUACAUGUUUGUUUCUUUAUUUAUGUGAAUGCCAGAACCAAGGAGGAGCUUAUAAAAGUGUUAGUCAAGUACCUUAAGAUGUUACCUUACUUGAAGAGUGAUGGUACAGUAUCACCUUGUGGAAGCUUUCCUUUCUUAGCGGUUGUGCAUCGUGUUUGUGGCACCCUCCAUGAAUCAUCUCUUAUGAGCUACGUCUUUCUUGUGCAAAUUGUUAAACUUCAUGUGUCACUUUCUUCAUCUCUAAUGAGUUUGCAUCUCAGGACUUCCCAGGUUGUUAUUGAAAGUUUUCCUACAGGGGUUAGUCCAACAAAAUAUACCAAUAUCUACUCAAGCAGUUUUUAGUUCAGUAACCAAACUAGACUCCAUGUCUAAUCAGAUUAAGGAAGGCUAUUUAACCUAAGCACCACACUUAAUUUAAAUGCCAUUGGAAGUGUGACCAGUACUUCCAAACUAACACUUACUAGGAUAAACAAAGGUAGCAUGAUGAAUUUUAUAGAGAUCUACUCAAGUGGAGAUGAAGUAGUGUGAUUAGUAUUUAACAAAUUGAGCAUGUCUCAAAGGUAAGGAGAACCAACAUAGCAACAUUGCAAAGGAUGUUUUAUGUAAAGUACUCCCCCAAGCUUGAAUUUUGCAAAAUUCAAGAUUGGAUGAAUUUAAUUUAAUGUUGCAUGAUAAUUGGUUGGGCAUACCUUGCGCUUGUCAUUCAUCCGAUCUUCUUGAUCCAAUCCUAGAAAGGUUAGUGGCAAGAAUACCCGAAGGAAUAUUUCUACAAUUAUCUUUAUAUGCUCAAUACACAAGGCAAUGUUGCAAAUAAUUAGAAGUGCUUGUUUUAGGACACUAAGCUUGUCCUUGGGAAACCAUCUAUUAACUCAACGAGAUCUGCAAUAUUUAUUAUAGACAUAUGCAUCGACAACCGCCCUUUUAAAGUUUUUAUAAAUAGAAAAGAAGAGGGGGUUGGAGAUCUCAAAUGUGGUAAGGAUGGAGAGACAAAUUGAUUGGAGAGAUGUUUUAUAUGAGCAAGGACUGGGUGAGGUAUUUAUGAAAUAACUUCCAUGCUCACUGUUGUUUCUCUCAUUCUCAAACUCCAAGGUUGAUUCUUCAUGAAUGUUUAAAAUUCCUCUAGGAUUGUCUCUCAAGUUUGUUUUAUCUAUCCAUUCAGUGGUGAUAGCACAUGGAUUUUUAAUGCCCUCUAGCCAUUGAUGUUGCUCUUCUCGAUCCUCCUUCUUAUGCAUGGGAUGUCUAGAUAGAUUUAUAGGAUUAUCGGGAGGUUCAAGAGAAAUAGCAUAGUAGAGAUUAUUAAGCUCAAGGAUGGGAUGGAUAGCCGAAUCAUGGGAUUGAAAUGUUUGGAAAUCGGCUAUUGAAACUUCCUUUCCUUGUCUGGGAGAUCAUUCCUUCUCUAUCUCUAAGAUUUUUCUAUGAAGAUUAGUGCAAGAAGGAUGUCCACGAAUGAAGACAUACCUUCCUUUACUAAUAGAUAAAGAAAGAAGGCCUCUACUAAAGGUUAUAUGAUUAAGACCAAUAUGAAAAUAUCUAGGAAAAACAUGGUCUUGUAGGGCUAGGUCUAAACCAGAAUUUAUAGAAAGAUUAAUAGAUUCCCUAGGUGUAGCUAAAAGUGCAUUAUCUUUUUGAUUAAAAUAUAGGACCUCGGCUAUAGAAAAGGGUUCGUUUUGACCUAUUGCAAUCAACUCCGGACACAGAUCAUAAUUAGGGGCAGGACGUGUUGACUCCCAUGGUCUAUGGCUGGUCUCCGAAGGUGCAAAGAAUUCAAUAAUAGUUAUGGAAUUUGAGUUAUCCACAAAAAUAAAAAGUAUAAAAGUAUAAUACAAGAUAAUAGCAAGACUCAAAGUUAUCUCAGCAAACCGUCUUUCUCCCCGGCAACGGCGCCAGAAAUGCUUGUUGAUAUUUGGUAACGCAAUUAGAAAAUGAUCCGCAAGCGCACGGAUAUCGGUGAGCAUUUCACCCGGGAGGUUAUCCAGAGUUAUCGUAUUUAUAUUUUUACCACCGGGAGAAAGGGUGCAUCUGACUAACCAAAUCUAUUGCUACUACCCCUUUAGGCUACAAAGAAUGUCUCUCGAUGUGAGUGAUAUAUAGAGAAGACUGCAACCGUAGUCUCGUUCUAACCUUAAUAAGGAUGAUCUACUGUUCUAUUGGGGAGGCUCACGGAAUCUAGACAACACAAAGGAUGUUCGACCCGCACCUAUAAACCUACCCGUCCUGCUAACGAGAUGUGGUCUGCAAAGGUAACUCGGAAAUGUCACGUUCCUCGCUACUACCACGGUCCAGCUAGUCAGGGGAUAUCUAUGAGUACCCUAGCCUAAGCACCACGUUUACGCUAACAAGUGAUUACUCUAAUACUCAACCGGAAGAGGAUUAAAGUAAACUCACAAACCAAAGAACAAUAAAACAAGAACUUACUAGUAUUAGAAGUCGAAUUACUGAAGAAUCUUAGAAGCAAGCCUCGGGUUAGGAGACUUGAUCCCGCAGGUACAACUCGGAGUAGACACCGACAGGCCGGCCUUCCUCCGAUCCACACCUCCACUCUAUCUCUCUCAAUCUAGUAGAAACUAGAAGAUCUAUUUCUACCUUACAUUGGUUGCUAAGCCUAAAAAGAAAUAUUAUUUAGAGAAGAGGUUUUCCUUCGAGGGCACCCCUCAAUCUCUAUGAUAAUUUCUUGUCUCCUCCAGGGCCAGAGGGGGUCUCCUUAUAUAGUCCUCCCCUUCUAUGCGUUUUUGGGUCGAUAGGCGAGGUGGUACUAUGUUAUUCUGGAUCCAAUAGGUCGGUGGAACGUCGUGUGCGAAGAGAGUCCGGAACGGAGUCCGAGGGGGGCGGGCGCCCAGGUCCUCAGGGCGGGCGCCUUGGGCCUGGCCCCUUUCGGGCUCCGCUUCCUUCCCGUGGCUUCUGGAGUCUUCUAGAUGGUAGAAAAUUACGCGAUGGGUUGAUAUCUCUAUGUAAUCCCGACAUGUGGGCCUUUCUUCCUUAUUUCCUGAUAACCCCCUGUAGAAAUAGACAAACACCAAAACUCGUGGAAUUCUGUCAGAUAAAACCCUAAGUCUAGAUGUUGAUUUCAUUUGGAUCCUUUUCUUUGUUUAUUUGAUAAUUAAAUUUGAUACUUAAGGACCGUCAACAGUGGCUUCUGGAGUCUUCUAGAUGGUAGAAAAUUGCACGGCACGUUAAUAUCUCUAGGUAAUCCCGACGUGUGGGCCUUUCUUCCGUAUUUCCUGAUAACCCCCUGCAGAAAUAGACAAACACCAAAACUCGUGGAAUUAUGUCAGAUAAAACCCUAAGUCUAGGUGUUGGUUGCAUAUAAGUCCUUUUCCAAGAUUAGUUGAUGGUUAAAUGUGAGCGUUAAGGACCGUCAACAAGCUCCCCCAAGCUUAACCUUUGCUCGUCCCUGAGCAAAGCUAAAAUCUGCAAGAAAACCGGGGUUACUUUUAUGCCUCUACUACAGGGUUUUUAAGUUAUCACUAAGGUCUUAAGUGAUUGAAAAACAGAACGAUCAAGUCAAGCAUUAUGUCUCAAGUUCUUCUGUCUUACCUUUGUUCUGGAGUUUUUUUUUUAAAUCUGCAAAAUAAAACUAAGGUAUUUGCCUUCUUCUCAAAAGAUAUAUAAGUAGAGCCUUAAAAGUUUUAGCAUACUUACUUUGCAUUUUGCAAUGUCAAUGCUCGGAGCAAGGGAGAGGAAUGUCAUACUCCUAGAUCAAGACCUUUGACCUUUUUGAAAAGUUUGUCAUCUCUUACUGGCAUAUUGCUUAUUAGAGGGACCAUGGGCUAUCAUUUUUUCUUUUUUUUCAGUCUCUCUCUUUUUUUUCUUUUUUUCAAGUGGGCACCAAGUACCCCUAAUUCUACUGUCGGACACGUGUCCAUUUUUAUCCACUCAGGUGGGUAUCUUUGUACCCCUAAUUCUACUUCGGACACUUGUCCAUUUUUACCUCUCGUCUCACUCUUUUUUUCAAAUCAAAUUUUUGCAUAGUCCCAUGCCUCUAACGUAAUAAUACUUCGGAAGAGUGAAUCUUUUAUAUUUUUAGAACAAAAAGAUCUUGAUCUUUAGGGCAUGAUAAUUCUCUCAACCAAAACUACAAGAAUUAACAAUGGAUUGAACAAAGCAAGUGCCCAUAGUUUUAAUAUUUAUAUCUUAUAAGACUCUAGGUAUUAUGCCAAACUAGAUCUCAUCAUUUUUUCUUUGAAUUUUUAGAUUUUCCAAAGAUAAAAUCUCCAGAACUCUAGCAAAACUUGGAACAAGUUAAAUAGUAGUUCAGACCUUCUCAUAUCAUGUUUGUCAAUUACCUAGACUUGGAUCAAACUUUCUUUUUAUUUUAUUUAAAACUUAGGAUUACCCAAAACUAUUGUUUAUUACUCAAAAGAAAAACUUUGUUUGGUUUCAUGGUUAUGCAUUUUUUUUAUUUAUUUCUGAAUACUAGUAAAUAAAACCAAGAAAGAAAAGUAAUACUUAUCUAGAUACACGUGGGAGUGCCUCCCCCAAGCUGGAUGUUGACAUAGUCGUUCACUCUUGUGGCCUGCAUGUUCGGUCUCACUCUCAAAAUCCUGCACAACCCAAAUAGACAACAAAAAUUGUGGAGCAUGUUAAGGGUUAGGUAAUUGUCUAGAGCUUAUGAGAGCUUAAUGUGAGAAUUCUAUGAACUCAAUCACAUCAAGUUCCUCUACCAGGUUGUUUUGUGGCUCGAGAUAGAUUUUCAAGCGUUGACCAUUUACCUUAAAAGUGUUACCUAUGUCGUCUUGGAUGGUAAUGGCUCCAUGAGUUGAAGUGUCAAUAACCUUGUAUGGUCCAUCCCACUUACUUCGUAGCUUACCAUGCCCAAAGAGCUUAACUCUUGAAUUGAAUAGUAGAACCUUAUCUCCAGGCUUAAACUCCUUGUGCUUGAUUCUCUUGUCAUGCCAUCGUUUUGUUCUCUCUUUAUAGAUCCUUGAAUUGUGGUAGGCUUUCUCUCUCUAUUCUUCUAGCUCAGAUAGUUGCUUCAGACAAUUCUCACUAGCGAGGUGGAGAUCCAUGUUCCAUUUCUUGAGUGCCCAAUGAGCCUUAAACUCUACUUCCACAGGCAAAUGACAAGUUUUUCCAUAUACAAGUUGAUAAGGUUACAUGCCUAUGGGUGUUUUGAAUGCAGUUCUAUAUGCCCAAAGUGCAUCAGGAAGUUUGUCCUUCCACCCCUUACCCAUCUCAUCUACGGUCUUUUGUAAAAUAUUUUUGAUUUGUUUGUUAGAUGUUUCGACUUGACCGCUAGUCUGAGGAUGGUAUGGUGUUGCAACGUUGUGUCGAACUCCAUGAUCGGCUAGGUACUUCCGGAACAUUUUGUCGAUGAAAUGGGAACCUCCAUCGCUUAUAACUACCCGGGGUAUACCAAAGCGAGGAAAGAUUACUUCAUGGAACAUUCUCUUGGCAUGUUUUGAUUCAGCUGAUCGACAAGGUAGGGCUUCUACCCAUUUGGACACAUAGUCCACAGCUACUAAGAUAUACUCGCAAUUCCUGGACAUAGGGAAUGGCCCCAUGAAAUCAAUGCCCCAUACAUCGAAAAGUUCUACUUGAAGAUUAUUUGUGAGAGGCAUUUCAUUUCGUGAGUUGAUAUUCCCAUGUUUUUGACAUCGGUGGCAUCUCCUGACAAAGUCCUUUGUAUCUUCAUACAUCGUUUGCUAGAAAAAGCCACUUUGCCAAAUUUUAGCAUGUGUCCGGAAUGCUCCAUAGUGACCUCCAUAUGGCGAGGCACGGCAUCUUUCCAUAAUUUGAGUAGCCUCAGCCAUAGGAACACACCUUCUCAAGAGUCCAUCAGCGCAGACUUGGAAAAGAUAUGGCUCAUCCCAAAGGUGGAAACGAGUAUCGUGAAGCAACUUCCUUUUGUUUGCACCAGGUGGGACAUAGACUUUUACUAUAAAGUUUACUAUGUCUGCGUACCAUGGAUCUACAUGUGUUAUCUUAAGUAGAGUGUCAUCCCUUAGGUAGUCAUUUAUAGGAAGCUCAUCAUGUGUUUCCUUAUAUUGAAGCCUAGACAAGUGGUCGGCUACGGAAUUCUCAACUCCCUUCCUAUCUCGGAUUUCUAUGUCAAUGUCUUGGAGUAGAAGAAUCCAUCAAAUUAGACGAGGCUUAGCAGGUACUUGAGAGCAGCAUGGUCUGAAUAGAUGAUUAUCUUUGCCCCCACUAAGUAAGAUCUAAACUUGUCUAUAGCAAAGACAACAGCCAAAAGCUCUUUUUCAGUUGUAGUGUAAUUGAGCUGUGGUCCAGACAAGGUUUUGCUAGCGUAGGAUAUGGCAUAAUGCUUUUUAUCCUUGGUUUGUCCUAAAACGGCACCAACCGCAAAAUCGCUAGCAUCACACAUGAUCUCAAAAGGAAGAUUCCAAUCAGGUGGUUGAAUGAUUGGGGCUGAGAUGAGUGCUUUCUUAAGAGUUUGAAAAGAUUCAUGACACUCAUCACUAAAGAUGAAAGGUGCAUCCUUAGUUAAGAGACUAGUUAGGGGUCUAGCAAUUUGAGAGAAGUUCUUGAUAAAGCGUCUAUAGAACCCUGCAUGUCCCAAAAAGCUACGGAUUCCUUUGACAUUCGUGGGAGGUGGAAGUUUUUCAAUAACUUCAAUCUUUGCUUUGUCCACCUCUAUACCAUGUUCGGACACUUUAUGUUCUAGCACUACUCCUUCCUGAACCAUAAAAUGGCAUUUCUCCCAGUUCAGGAUUAAGUGCUUUUCUUCACAUCGCUGCAAGACUCUAUCAAAAUUCUCCAAACAAUGAUCGAAGGUUUUUCCAUAGAUGGUAAAAUCAUCCAUGAAAACCUCCAUGAUCUUCUCAAUCAUGUCCGAGAAAAUAGACAUCAUACACCGUUGGAAAGAAGCUGGAGCAUUGCACAAUCCGAACGACAUUCGUCGGUAUGCAUAAGUUCCAUACGGGCAUGUAAAGGUAGUCUUUUCUUGGUCAUCUGGGUGGAUUGGGAUUUGGUGAUAUCCAGAAUAACCAUCAAGGAAACAAAUGAAAGAGUGGUUUGCAAGCCGUUCCAACAUUUCAUCAAUGAAGGGUAACGGAAAGUGAUCUUUCUUUGUAGCCUUAUUGAGUUUUCGAUAGUCAAUACACAUACGCCACCCAGUGACAAUUCGUUGAGGGAUGAGUUCAUUCUUCUCAUUCCUAACGACCGUCAUUCCUCCUUUCUUUGGCACUACUUGGACAGGGCUAACCCACUCACUAUGUGGCACAGAAUAAAUAAUCCCAAUAUUAUAGAGUUUGAGGACCUCUUUCUUUCUUAACAACCUCUCGCAUAGCAUUGUUAAGUCUCCGUUGUGGUUCCCUUGAAGGUGUAACAUUGGGAUCAAUAGGGAUACGGUGAGUGCAGAGAAUGGGACUAAUGCCCGUGAGAUCUUCGAGAGAGUAUCCAAAUGCUGAUCUAUGCCUUUCAAGAACAGUGACAAGUUGUUGUGUUUCAUAAUCGGAAAGCUUGUCACUGAUAAUUAUUGGAGUUUUUGGGUUGUUCCGCAGAAAGACAUAUCUAAGGCCAGAAGGAAGAGGUUUUAACUCUAUCAAAGGAGGUGAAGGUUGUUCAUUUUUGUCUAGCUCAACGGGUUCUACCAACUCUUCUUCUUCUUGAACAAAGUGUUCAUGAUUAAAGAAUGGUUGGGCCAUCUCCUCUUGAGUCAGCAUUAAGAUCUCCUCAAUAGGAUCUGGUUCAAGUUUGGGUUCCACUAUCGUGUUAAUUGAUCUAACGAGAGGAACAACAAUAGUGGAAUUCCCAACCUUGAAGUCUAAAUGACCUCGUUGUGGUUGUUCUUGUAGAAAUUUCAUGAUUGGUCUGCCAAUCAAGAGAGGAAUCUCCGGCAUGUCAAAAAUGUGAAAAUCUAGACAUAUUCCAGAGUCCUUGAUUCUAACAGGAACUGCCCGUAAUACCCCAUGGCUUUCUAGAAUUAAUCUAGAUGGACUUUGUAAAAGUUUUUGAGAUGGGGUUAUGGACUCGUUGGGAUAAAGAGUGUCAGCUAACUCCUUGGAAAUAACAUUUAUCCCAACAUAUGGAUUGUAGUGGACCUUCCUAGCGGACCUUCUAAUUUGGCAUAGAAGAAUGGUUGAAGGAGUGAUGAUCCGAGCUACCUCAGGAGACAGCUCUGCUUCUGUUAGCCAUUCGUAACUCAGAAUAGCUGAAAGGCUUUUAAUGUGUUCUAUGUUAACAUAUUCUACUCUUAGAAUGGAUUGAGUGGUCCUUGCUAGAGGUUGUGUUUGGAUAGGAAAAUUCGUGGUGUUUCCAUAAUCUUCAAAAAGAUCUUCCUCGAAUUCAAAGGGAUGCUCUAAAGGUGGUGGUUCAUCAGCCCUUAAUUGGUUUUGCAUUCCCUUAUCAGGAGGUUUCUCUACAAUCAAAUUACUAGAUGGGUCAGGUGGAAUUUCUAACUCGGUUGCAAGUUCCUCAUCUUUUGGUUUAGGAUCAGGCUCGACUUCUUUUUCUUCUUCAGGAAACUCAUCAUAAAUGCCUGUGUAAGGGGUAUUUUCAAGGAUUCUCUCUAGGAUAGCUCUCGCCUCAUCUGUGAGUUUGUGUGUGAAUGAGCCUCCUGAAGCAAUGUCGAGGUGAAGAGCAGCUUCCUUGUUUAGACCACGAUAAAAGUGGUAGUAUAGUACAUGGUUAGGUAGGGAAAGGUUUGGACCAGAAUUGGUAAGGCUUUUGAACCUAGCCCAAGCUGCUCCUAAAUUUUCCUUCUCUCUUUGUUUGAAUGUAAGAAUUUCGAUUCUAAGGUCAGCGAUUCGAAAAAGUGGGAAGAAAGCGAGACAAAAGUUGUCCCGAAGUUCAUCCCAAUUUCCAUUAACGACUCCUACAGAAUGAGCAUACCACUUUUUUGCUCUUCCCAAAAGGGAGAACAAAAAUAAUUUCCAUUUAAGGGUUUCUUGUGUCAUGCCAGAAAUAGAUCGGCAAGAGCACAACUGCUCGAAUUCUCUAAGGUGGGUGUAUGGAUCUUCAUCUACUUGCCUAGAGAAGGGUUGCUCCUGAAUCAUGGCUAUUAGAUCAGGGCCAAGGUCGUAGCCAUCUGUAAGAAUUGGAUGUGAUGAUGGUGGUGGCUCUAAUAACUCGCCCUUUGGAGCAAAGAAUUUAUAGAUAGGAGUGAAAUCCAUGUGGUAUGGUGAAAAUGGUAAGGUGAGUGUGGUAAAAAGGGAAAAGAAAAAGGAUACACGAACGACUUGGUUCGAAACUAGCACAGCUACCGUUCCCCGGCAACGGCGCCAGAAAGCUUGUUGGGUAUUUUAAACGCAAACAGAAAAAUCCGCAAGCGCACGGAUACCGAUGUAGCCUUCACCCGGGAGUAUUCCAGAGUAUCGAUUUUCGACAAGGAACGUGAGUGUACUAAUUAAGAUCCAAGAUCGCCCAAGGAUAACUAUAUAAUUAUUUUUGGUGGGAAGAGAGGAAGUUUCCUGAGAGUUCUCUAGUUAAUCUAAGAAUAAAAAAUUACUUCAAGAUUAUCUAUUUCGGGAUAUCAGAAAACUAACCACAGAAAGAGAUGAGAUGGGGGCUAGGAAGCUCUGACUACGGUCCUACAAACACCGAUCCGAAUGAGGUGGAAUACGUCGACCGUUAGGGCUAUCACUACCCUAGGGCUACCACAACAAUCCACAGGAUUGGGUGCAAUUCUAGGUAAUUGCAAGACUAAACACCACGUCUAAUCUAUUAAUUACUACUCUAAUGUUGCAAAGAUUAGAGCACUUGAUGCAAGCGGGAAUCUAAUAAAUAACUUGAAUGUAAAUAAAAGUAAUUAAAGAACUCAGGAAUUAUGAAUUGAAGAACCUGGAGAACGAUGAAGAACGAACCAGUAGCUGCAAAAGUACAAUGUUGAGGAAUAUCCGACAGAUCCGGCUCCUCCUCCCCCGCUCUCCUCUUCUCUCUUCCUAUUUUCUAGAUUACAACUAGAACUAACUAGAACUAGAACUAGAGGAACUAGAACUAGAACUAGAUGAACUAGAACUAGAACUUGAUGAACUAGAGGUAGAACUAGAAGAACUAGAGGGAUCCUCUCUACUUGGAUGAAGAAUUGAAACCCUAGCUUUGAUUCUGUAGAAGAGGUAUGAUCUCCAGGGGCCAGGGGCCUUGCUUAUAUAGUCUUUUCAGAUGAAUCUGGGCCGUUGGAUCAAACCGAUAUUGAUUGAACGGUUAUCCUUGAUCCUUUAUGUCGGUGGAGCACGAUCCUGAAAGAGAGUCCUGAUUGGACUCAGAAGGUGGUUGGCGCCCAGAAGAGUAGGGCGGGCGCCCUGCCUCCGAGCCCAAUCGCCUUCCCGUUCGUUCCCGUGGCUUCUGGAGUCUUCUAGAUGGUAGAAAAUUGCGCGGCACGUUAAUAUCUCUAUGUAACCCCGACGUGUGGGCCUUUCUUCCGUAUUUCCUGAUAACCCCCUGUAGAAAUAGACAAACACCAAAACUCGUGGAAUUCUGUCAGAUAAAACCCUAAGUCUAGGUGUUGGUUGCAUAUAUGUCCUUUUCCAUGAUUAGUUGACGGUUUAAUGUGAGCGUUAAGGACCAUCAACAAAGACCGAAGGACAUGACGAGAUAUUCAUACAACCCAUACCUUGUCGAGAAAGCUGUCUUAGGUACAUCUUCAGGACGGAUCUUGAUCUGAUGAUACCCAGAUCGCAAAUCAAUCUUGGAGAAUACUUUGGCUUUAGACAACUGGUCAAACAGGAUACCAAUGCGUGGAAGAGGGUACUUAUUCUUGAUGGUCACUGCAUUCAGGGUACGAUAGUCCACACACAUGCGCAAGGACUGAUCCUUCUUCUUCACAAAGAUAGCCAGACAACCCCAAGGAGAAGAACUAGGACGGAUAAGACCCUUCUUUAACAACUCAUUCAGUUGGGUCUUAAGCUUAGCUAGCUCAUUUGGUGGCAUUCUAUAAGGUCUUCUAGAGAUAGGAGCAGUACCUAGAAGCAAUUCAAUUUUGAACUCCACAUCCUGAUCUAGAGGAAGCCCGGGCAAAUCACCAGGGAAUACAUCCAGGAACUCACACACGACCAGAAUAUCCUCAAUGGCCCUAGAUGUAACUGCAUUCAUCGUGCUAUGGAUAUGAAUAUCUCGAGGAAGUUGCACUAAGAAUGCCUCUUUGUUAUUCGGGUCUCUCAACAUCACUACACGAGUGGUGGUGUCGAUAAGAACUCCAUUGCCACUCAUCCACUUCAUACCCAGAAUUACAUCUAUACCCACACCGGGUAGAACAACCAGAUCAGUAAGAAACUGACGGUCUCCUAUUUCCAGAGUUGCCCCCAAAACCACUUGGUUGGUAGAAAUAUCAUUUCCAGUAGCACUAAUGCAAUAACUGCCCUUAUCAAGUGUAAUUGCCUUGAGAUUAUGCUUAGACACAAAGUCCGAACUCACAAAAGAAUGCGAUGCUCCUGAAUCAAAAAGCACAAGUGUAUCACAUUGAUUGAACAGAAACUUACCAGCCGUAACUACCUCACCAGCAGGGAUGGCUUCCACAGUUGUAUAGUGAACACGCCCCUGGCGGACGUUCCCUUGGUUGCCCUUCUUUGGCGGGUAAGGAUAGUUGCUUUGCCAGUGCCUGGUCUAAUUACAGUUCUAGCAUGGACGGUUGGCAGGUGGAGUCUUGGCAUAGCUAGGACUGGUGUUGCCCCUAGGAAGAGCAAUAGAGUAACCCUUGCGGAAACCCGUCUUCGCCUAAUUCUUCUUCACUGGAGGGCGAUAUCGCUGGUUAGGAGUUGGAGCAUGAUACUGGGGCCUAGCUGCCACUGGAGCUUUGGACUGAGAUGCCCCUUCCUCAGCCUCAAAAGCCCUCUUGCGAGUCUUGGUCGUAGUGUACACAGUGUUAUAAUUCUCUUGGGUAAGAGCAUCACUGACAAACUCAUUGAAAGUUGCACACUUAGUGCGGCCCAUAGUCUUCAGCAACUUGGGGCCAAGACCCCGCUUGAAGCUAGCAAUCUUUUUCGCCUCAGUGCUCACAAACUCAGGAGCAUGCCUAGAUAGAUGAUUGAAAGCAUGCAAAUACUCCUUCAAAGUUUUGUUUCCCUGAGUUAUUUUCAUGAACUCAAUAUGCUUCAUUUCCAUGACACCAGGAGGUAUGAAAUGCCCCUUGAAAGCUUCAUGGAAGAGAUUCCAGUCAAGCACAGUAUUGUCCGCGAGAGCCUCCCGAUACUGAUUCCACCAUAUGCCUGCCGGUCCCUGCAGUUGGUGAGCUGCAUACUCAACCUUCAAACCCUCGGUCAGCCGAAGCAAGCGGAACUUUUGUUCCACCAUGUUCAGCCACUCCUCAGCUUGAAGGGGUUCUUCAGCCUCUCUGAAAGAUGGGGGCUUAGUAUCCAUGAAAUCCUUGAAGCAACUGUACUGAUUAGGUGCUGGCCCAUCCGGUGCAUUCCGACCACCCUGGUUUGCCAUCUAGUUGAUGGUUUCAGUGAGCAUCCUCUGAUUUUCCACCAUCAUUUGCAUCAGUUCAGCUGGAUUUGGUGGUGGAGGAGGAGGGGGCGGGUUCAUGUUCGCACGUUGUUUCGCACCUCGAGUGCCAUGAGACAUCUGUAAAGACAUAGUCAGUGAGCAUUGAUGAUGACAAGAUUUGCCGUAGAAGAACUUAUAUUCAUGCCUAAAAGUAUUCGAAAGAAUAACUUUACAGAAAAUGGCACAAUAAUUCAAUUCCACAAAACAACAUCACCAAUUCAACACAUGACACAGAUAUCCGCAAGAUGCACAAUAACGAAAACAUCGUCAUAACCGAUUGAACAUGACAGAGAUAACAACAUGGGGUCCAAAAGUCAUUACACCAUCACAGCACAGAUCAUAAGUCAAAGAUCAUGAUUCCGAAUUACAACAUGAUUACAAAAGUACAACUGCUGACAGUCAUACUACAAAAGAUCCUCACAGGAUAACUACCAACUACCCACUACACCCAGGCUCCUCGUCCGAGUCAGCGUCGAAGAUCGCCUCUCCAUCCUCAUUGCUAACCGGCUCAAGCUCCUCGUCCUCCACAUCCUCGUGCAGAGGUCGUGCAGCCGCGACUGGUCCAUCUACCUCCAUACCAUCAUCAUCGGCCACGAUCACCUGAGGUCCCACCUCUGGAUAUGCUGGUGCAGGGCGAGCAAUAGGGUGUAGUAAGUUGUUGAGAUGGUGAAUCUCCACAAGACCAGCCUCAAUCUGAUCCUGCAGAUAGUUCUCCCGCUCAAGCGACUGGAUCUGGUGCAUCUCCCAAGCCCGACGCAUGUUCUCCGACACGCGGAGUGCAGUAUCCCUCUCACGAGUGAUCUGCACCAAGCGAUCCUGCACUGUCUCCCUCUCCCUAGCCAAUUGACUCAUCUGAUCCUAUUUGUGAUCUCUCUCUCUAAUGGCCUUCACCCACUGCUGCCAACGGUACUCCGCAAUGUCUUCCCAGUCAUUGCGGUCCUUCUGAGCUUGCUCCAGGAGUCUACCUUGCUUGCGAAACUUGCGGGCAUGCUUUUCAGCCUUCUGUUGCAUCUCCUGAGCCUGGCGAACAGCCACCAUCACCUGGGCAUAGGUGUCCUCUCGCUGACUGAACAGCUUGAGCACAGCCAUCAUAGCACUGAUAGCAGGGCUAAAACUCUCAGCUUGCUCUCCUCAGCCUUGGACCAACGCACAACCAUCAGCCAACUUCCACUCCGCUGCUGCUGGGUCAACACGGGGAAUGGAGGCCGCUGGUCCUCCUGUUAGCUCAUAGCCAAACCUCUGACAGAUGUUGAGCAGCAUAGCAUGGGCUGCAGCUUGAGCUGCUUCCCAUGGUGUCUGCCCAUCUGAGUUACAGGUCCACCCCGUCCAUGUAGGCCUGCCCCCAUGUGGAGGGACAACUCCCUGCACAGCAAACCACUGCAACUCUCCUGUCAUAUCCACCUCCCACCAGGAAUACUGAGGUGGCUCAGUAUACCCUACAGACUGUAGUACCCUCUAGAGCAAAGUAGGAGUGCCAAACUCACUCAAAAAGGUAUCACUGGGGCGAGGUGAAGCGGGCACAUCCAUCUUUGUAAAGGAAUAACCGUGGGUAAGAGAGGAUUAAUUUAAGCAACAUUUAUUUAAUUUAAAAGGAACGAUAUUGUAGGGGAAGGAGUAGACAGAAUGUAUGUAUGAAUGUGAUAUGAUGCAUGCACGAACCGUACGUCCUCACAAACUUAGAAGAUUAAUAUUCUAACGGAUAUACGGUGGCAUGUGUUGACGGUCCUUAAGUAUCAAAUUUAAUUAUCAAAUAAAUAAAGAAAAGGAUCUAAAUGAAAUCAACAUCCCGACUUAGGGUUUUAUCUGACAGAAUUCCACGAGUUUUGGUGUUUGUCUAUUUCUGCAGGGGGUUAUCAGGAAAUAUGGAAGAAAGGCCCACAUGUCGAGAUUACGUAAAGAUAUUAACGUGCUGCGCAAUUAUCUUACAUCUAGAAGACUCCAGAAGCCACGAGACCGAAGCGGAGGCGAAACGGGGCCUGACCCUGGGCGGCCGCCCAGUUGGUCAGGGCGCCCGCCCUGCCCCUGAGUCCAAUCAGGACUCUGCUUUGCGGGAGAUCUCCACCGACCUAAAGGAUGAAUCUAAACCAUACAAUCUAUGUCGGUUUGAUCCAAUGGCCCAUAUUCACUUGGAGGGACUAUAAAACCAGACCCCCUGGCCCCUGGAGGAGAGAGCCUCUCAACCCUAAUUCAUUGUUCCAUCAAGGGAGAAGAAGCCUCUAAUCAAGAUUAGAGCCACCACAUCAAUUAGACAUCUAGAUUAGCAUAGCUACAUAGGAUUAGAACUAGAAGGAGUCAAUCUUCGAUUGGUUUCCGGAUCUGUCAGGAGGAUUCUUGGCAAUUCUCUAAUUGUGCUUCUAAUUGCUUUCUAAUUAUCUUUGUUCUUCAAUAUUAUGAAUAUGACUUUGUUCUACUUCAAUAUAUUGCUUAUGACUUUGCUCUACUUGCUUAUAUUCAAGAUUAUAUUGUUCUUAGUUUAUCAUAGUUAUGUACUUGGCUUAGUUAGAUUAGAUCUAUAUACAUGCUUAGGAUCGUAUAGCGUUUAUCCAUCGGAUCCAUGGGUAAAUGAUAGAUAUUGUGUAGGCGUGGUGCUUAUAUCGUAUUUAUCUGCGAUUGUACCCAAUAUGCCAGAUCGUGGGGUGGUUCGUGAUAGUGACAGCUUCAUUGAUUCUUAUAUAGUCCCCCUCUCAUGUAUUGGGCUGGCAGAGCAACAUUAUUACAGGGGAGUGAUUGCUAUGUUUCUCAUAUUCCUUGCUAAUAUCACUAUGCAUGGGCGUAGUCUUGUCUCACAAUGAUUGCUAAGUGUGCUUGCACUAAUUAUGAUAAUGCUAGACUAUAUAGUUGAGAAUAACUUAGGGAAUAUUCUUGUAGUUCGUUCUAAUACCAUGCUAAUGACUUUCUAGAGUGUCUAAUUGAGGUGCUUAUCAUAUUUAUUAUGUGGCUAGAUCAGAUUAGUUAUCCUUGUCACUAUUAUUAUUUCAUAUAUCUUUUAUGUGACACUUAUCCUUGUAUGAGAAGUUAGAUAUAAUGUUCUCAAUUAUACAUGCAAUGAUAGAUGCUCAAUCUCAUAUUCUAUUCUGUAAUCAAUAGUGAUGAUUGCUAAUCCCUUCCCAGUGGUAAAAAUAUAAAUAACGAUACCUGGAAUACUUCCCGGUUAAAAUGCUACAUCGGUAUUAAUCUGUGCGCUUGCAGAUCCCAUUCAUUAUUUAUUUAGAAGAGCAAUUGCAUAUUUCAAUACCGCGUCUCUCAUAUCAUGCUGGGGAUGACAACUUGGCUUAAGUGGUGUGAGGGAUAGGUUUGGCAUUUUUGGCACCGUUACUAGAUUUAGAGAACUUAGUCUACUUUUGGUAAUGAUGUUAAGAAUACCCAACAAGCAUUUUUUGCGCCGUUGCCGGGGAAGGUUGAUUACCAAUCAGGAAUGGAAUAAAAGAUUUUGAGUUAUCAUUCGCAUCACUAAUAUGAUUGAGCUUAUCUAUUCUCUCAUACAGUUUUACCCCGAUAUUUUUCUAUUUUAUCUUAUGUAGGGGAAUGAAUGAAUAGAAGACAUCUUCCAGGAAAUUUUGUUGACAAUCCUGAAGCAUUAUUCAAGAAGACGAGAGCCAAGCUAAAGAAAUCAUCAACACUUCAACAAGAAGCUUCAUCCAAUCAAGAAGAUCACCGGAACUUGUUUUCAGAGUUCGAAGCCAUGGCGAACAAAUCAAUCCGCGAGUUCUCAGCUCCCACUACGGACAACAUCCGCACUGGACCUGCUGCAGAGAUCGACAGCAACUUUGAGCUCAAGCCUGGACUUAUCAACAUGGUGCAAUCCAACCAGUUCUGUGGGAAGGCACACGAAGAUGCUAGUGCUCAUUUACAACACUUCCUGGAGAUUUGCAACACAUUCACCAUAGCAGGAGUUUCCAAAGACGCUAUACUACUUCGCCUCUUCCCAUUCUCACUGUUAGGAAGAGCGAAGCAGUGGUUCUACGCUACAAAGGAGAAGAAUACUACGUGGGCACUCUGCUCAACAAACUUCCUGGCUAAGUUCUUUCCCAUGGGCAAGACCAAUGCUCUCCGUGGGAAGAUUACAAGUUUUCAGCAACAAAAUGAUGAAUCUGUUCCAGAAGCAUGGGAGCGCUUUCAAGACUACAUCCUAGAAUGUCCCCAUCAUGGAAUGGAGAGUUGGUUAUUGAUGCAGACAUUCUAUCAUGGGCUCAGCAACAGUGCCCGAGAGAACAUGGAUGCUGCAGCUGGAGGAGCAUUCUUAUCACUUACUAUACCACAAGCCACAGCUCUUGUGGAGAAGAUGGCGUCCAACCAAAGCUGGAAUGAAGAGAGGACCCAGACACGCAAGAGAGGUGGAGGUAUACAUCAGCUGAAAGAGGUAGACAUGCUGUCUGCAAAGCGAGACCUGCUCAUGAAGAAGCUCUACGAUAGAGCUGGAGACAAGAAAGAAGUUAUGCACAUCUACGACUCUCACAUGACUUGUGAGGAGUGUGGAGACACUGGACACUCAGGCAACCACUGCCCUGAGAUACUUGAGGAUGUGAACUACAUCAUCAACAACAACAACUACUACUACAACCGUCCUCAACAAAAUCAAGGUUGGAAUCAACAGAGGCCUAACUACUCAGGUAAUUAUCAAGGUAACAAUUCUUACAACAACAAUAAUAAUAAUUUUCCACCUUUGAGAGAGUUAGUGUCUAAUCAAGGAAAGCUAAUGGAUAAUCUAUCUAAGAAAUUGGCAUCUAAUGAUAAAAUGCUAGAAAAUAUAAAUAAUAGAAUGGAUAACUUUUCUACUGCCAUCAAGAAUCAAAUUAGCUUUAAUAAAAUGAUUGAAUCUCACUUAAAUCAAAUAGCUGUUGCUGUUCCUACUACUAACCCCGGUAUACCAUCACAACCGGAAGGAUUAGAAUCUGCAAAUCUUGUAGACAUGUUUGAUGCAGGUAAUUGGAGUAACCCCGUCACUGAAUUCUCUACUGACCUUCUGCCGGUCAAGAGAGGCGAUCCAGGACGCCCCGUCAUCCCGAUCUCCAUCGGCAUGGUGGACGUUCUAGAAGCACUCUGUGACUUUGGCUCCAGUGUCAACAUUAUACCCAGGGUACUCUAUAAAAAAUUCUUUACAUAUCCUUUAUUAGAAACAACCAUGUGUUUGCAGUUUGCAGAUCAGACGAUAACUUUUCCAAAAGGAAUAGUGAGGAACCUUUGUGUCCGAGUUGGUACCUUGUAUGCCCCAGCAGACUUCGUAGUGGUAGAGACCGGGAAUGAUGAGAGAGCACCUAUCAUCCUAGGGAGGCCAUUCUUGAACACCACCGGAGCUAUCAUCUACGCCAGUGCUGCCAAGAUCAGUUUCUACGUCAAAGGGAAGAAGGAGACAUUUUUCUUCAAGAACAAGACUACACAAAUCCCAGAUCAAUCCAGACGUCAAUCAAGGAAGAGGACCAACAGGAGGAACAGGAACAAGCAAGUGUGGACCGAGUCAGCUAAGAUGGUCACUGUAGUUCAUGGAGGCCAAGAUCAUCAACUUAAGUCACCGUCUUUGACCAAGAAGGACGACCCAGGAAUGCCAAGCAUCUACUGCUCCAUAAAUGGAUACAACUUCUACAAGACGAUUUGCAACACCGGAUCGGGCGUCAACAUAAUGGCCACAGUCACCUAUCGGCUCUUAUUCGGAACCAUGCCCCUAAGACCAACAUACAUUCAGCUCCAGAUGGCAGAUCAGACAUUUCGAGAAGUUAAAGGAAUAGUAUCUGAUGUCCCAGUCAAAAUAGACUAUCACUUUGUCUACACAGACUUUCAAGUUAUUGACAUGGGAGAAGAUGAGUAUGAUCCACCCAUCAUCCUUGGAAGACCGUUCCUCAGCACCGUUAAAGCAAUUAUCUACACUGGAACCGGAGAAGUCCAUAUGCACUUCCCCUCAGAGAAGGUACGCCGUUAUUUUACUGACCCUAACUAUAUCAUUGAAGAAUCUAAGCAGGUCAGAAAGAGACGCAACCAUAAUCAGAGGAGGCAGAUCAUCAAGGACGGAUGGGCAGACUAUGAAGGAGAAGUUAUAAGGUCAGAAGACGUAGAGUUUAAACAGAAUUAUCCAGAGGAGAUUGAAGCAUCGAGUCAGGUAUGGAAAAUGAAGAUAACUAUACAAGAAGAGGAGGCGCUGCCGGAGGUACCGACUACGCCACCUAACGAACCUCAGGACGAUUAAAGAAAAUGGAGAGUCCCGUUCGGAGGACUUAAAAACACCAAACGCCUUGCCAAGAGGUAAACUUGGUAGUUAUCCUUUCCCUUUUUAUUAUUUCAAAUAGUUUACUUAGUUAAUCAUGUUCAUACGAUCUUAAAAAAAAAGAAAAUAAAAAUAUGAAAAACAGUAAGCCCCAUGUAAGUAUGCGAGUGGCAUAAAACCCAUAAGUACAUUCACUGUGGUGGCAUAAAAAUAAAAUAAAUAUUUUUUCUGCUUUAUAAAAACAAAAAUAUAAAAACAGGGAGUAAUAUUUAUUAAGGAGUCUCAACAUGAAAAAGGCUGGAUAUUUAUGCUAACACUUAAUCAGUUCCACAAGCUUUGUUGUCUAUUUGAGCUCCACAGAAUUUAAGAAUCAAGAAGACUAGCAGACGGAGGACAUUCUAAUCGCUGUCAAAAUGCUGCUGACUUUCAAAUACACCUCUGUCAUCUGCUAGCUACAUCAAGAGAAAUUACGUCAAAAUUCAGCUUGGGGGAGAGCACCCCCAUUUAUCACGAUAAGUAUUUCUAUCUAUCUUUAUACUUAUAUUAUUUUAGAAUAUAAAUACAUAUAAACUAUAGAAAACCAAAUAAAGAUUUUAUGCUUAUAUAUCUUUUGCUUAGUGUGUUUAAUAAAUAAAGUGGCUAUGCUAAUCUGUAUCUAAAUAAAACUUAAGCAUGGAUAUGAUAAAUAGUUGCUCUGCCUAAUUUGCAAAUUUUAAGUUCUCUCUCAAGUUUAGACAUAACUGUUAUAAUUUAAAGGUUACUCUAGACCUAAACUUGUGGGAUGAAAACUUGAUCUGAAGUCUAAGUUGUUAACGGAUACGAUAUGGGAAGGUUGAGCUGCUGUUUAUCUGUUCCUAGAGAAACCAGAAUUCUGGAGAAUUUUAUCUUUAAAAAUCUUUAAAAUGUUGCAUGAUGAGUUCCUGUAUGAUGAGAGUUUAAAUUCCUACCACAGCCAUAUAUACAUGCUUGUUAGACUUUGAGCCACACAUUUAUUAUUUACUGCUUAUGAGCAUUGAGUGUGGUCAAGCUGUGUAGACCCUUAGGAGCUUGUCAUGUGGUUAAAUCAAGAUUUCACUUGCACGUUCACUCAUAUAUGCUACUUCUACUCCGGAAGUACCAUCCACAUAUAUCCACCUAUUCCAUCUCUAGAAUCAUCCAAAAAUAUUCUACUCCCAAUCCGGGAGAGAAUAAUCAAAAAUAUUUCUGUUUUCCCUUGUGAAAUAAAUGCUCAAGUUAUCUUGUUACUACCACUUGCUAUAUUAUCUCAAGAGAUGAAUGCUUUUUUAAAAAAAAGAAAAAAAGAAGAAAAAAGAGAGAAUGUUGACACCGUUUUUGGGCACGUGUCCAGGAUGGUAGGAUAAGAUGACAGUAUGUGGUUUACAGGAUGAGUUGCCGAUGAGGAUGGUUGCCGAUAAUGGAGAGGUCGGACGUGACUAAGUUUACAGGUGAUGAUGUAUCUAUGCCGAUGACUAUGAUGAGGAGGUCUGCCGAUGACCAUGGCAAAAGAGUCUGCCGAUGAUACGGAGGGGGAGUCUGGAAGCUGCUGAUCGGGUUGUGGAAGAGUUUCAAUUUGUCACGAGGGAUAACUGAGUUAUUUCCUUAUUUGUUUAAGUCGUUUUGUAUACGGAUUCCGUGUAAUUUGGAAUUCGAAUUCUGGUCGUGUUUAGUUAUAGCUCUUUAAGCAGGGUAUAAAUAUGGACCCUAGGGCUUUGUAAUGAGACAUCUAUCAAUCAAUCAAACACACGUUUUUACUCAUAUUCCAGCAUCUACUUUUCGAUGACUUCGUCAUACUUUUUCCCUUUUAUUACGAGUUCUUAGGAAUUCGUCGACUUAAGCUCGGCGUGUUCUCAAGUUCCGCGUGAGUACCACUUAGCCGUGACAUCCGGGCGCAUCGCUGUUGUCAGGACUAAAGUAUUCGAGUUAUCACCUUUGUUGAUAGUAAGGUCAAAUCAGCUGGCACGCCUUAACGUUUGAAUUGGGUAUUAGCCCUUUGUGUUUGCAGACCAGCUUUUGCACCAACACAUCUUUUGGCACGCCCGGUGGGACAAGAUUCAAGAUCAAGAUCAACAUGUCGAUCUCUGACUUCGAUCAGGAGAACGUCAUCCCCGUGACGGAGGCCAAUCUCAAGGAUGAGCAGAAGCAAGCUAUUGCCCAAGCCAUGGAAGAAUUCAAGCUGCAAUGCCCGAGGUCUUUCAGCAUAAACAGGAGCGGCGAGGUGAUCCAGAGAGAUGCAUUGCCGGCACCACGACAGGUUACCUUCGAAGCCAAUCCUGGCAAGCUUCAAGAUAUGGUUGACAGUGCUAUUAACCGAGCUUUGAUCAACCAAGCUGGUGUACUGUCUAAUACGGUUUUCAAUGCCGUGGCAAGAACUUUCAAGGAAGGACAAAUCCCACCAGAUUAUGUGGGUCCCUCUCAUCAUCAGCCAACGGCACCAGAGGUCACGGCUCCAUCGGCUGCUUUGACGGCUGCAAGUGCACAAUCUGUCGUCCCUCCAAGUACAUCGGGAGCUACAGGUGCACUAUCUGUGCCGAUGACAACUAACCCGCAGACUUCAGGUGGGCAGAAUAAGCUGACUACAGAUAUGUUGGCAUCGGCAAUGUCAGGGUUAACUCUUCCUCCUAACUGGUGGGGUUAUGGUAUGCCUCUAGAAUUGACGCCAGGUACAUCGCAGAUAACCGACAUGAGGGGCAAGACUCCUAUGACAUCGGCGGUUCCCAAUGCGCCGUUGAACCAGAGUCCCCGGUAUACGACAGCUACUACUGCAAGGCCUCACACUGGGAAUCCUCAAGAUUCAAUGUUCCAGAUGCCUAAUGCAUCGGUAGAUUCAAUGCUGAUGCAAUAGAGGUCUAUGGCCCAGUCAGGGUAUGUCAAUUCAAUGAUGGUACCCAAUUACCAAUCAUCGGCAGCGCCUAUGCCGAUGAACGCUAAUAAUGGAUGGCUUGGACAGCAAGUCUUUCCACAAUCGCCCCAACAAAGUUACCAGGCUACGGGGUUCCAGCAAGGACAGAUCUAUCUCGGAUUCCAAAGUCAGGGGAUCCCCAACCAGCCAAUGAAUAUUGGACAGCAACUCAGGGGACAGCAAGUCGGUGGACAGCAGUUUGGUGGUCCGCAGAUUGGAGGACAGAUGAUCAAUCCGAUGCUCCGUACAGAUCACGUCCCGAACAGACACGUGGAGGUUCGCCACCAAGUGCCGGACCCGCAGCCGCCUCAUCGGCAGGAUGCCGAUGCAUAUUGGGCCGAUAAAAUUGCUGAAGUAAUGAGGGAACAAUUUGGGAUAAAACCCAAAGUCAACACUUACUCUUAUCGGACACCGUAUCCUCCUGCAUAUGAUUUGAUCCCGCUUCCACAUCGGUACAAGGUACCGGAUUUUACCAAAUUUUCCGGGCAGGACGACACGUCAACCAUGGAUCAUGUCAACAGGUUCAUCAUUUAAUGCGGAGAAGCUGAUAACAGGGACGAAUUGAGGGUUCGUCUAUUUUCAUCAUCAUUAUCUGGAUGGCCUUUACUUGGUUCAUAUCAUUACCUCCCAACUCAGUGAUUACUUGGGCCGAUCUGGAGAAAAAUUCCACAAAUACUUCUUCUCCGGGGUUCAUGAGAAGAAGAUCACCGACUUGGUCAAGUUGAGACAGCGCAAUGAUGAAUCAGUUGAAGGUUUCGUGCAGAGGAUACGGGAAGUUAAGAAUAAAUGCUACAGUCUGGUUCUAGAUGAUCGACAGCUAGCCGAUUUGGCUUUCCAGGGUUUAUUGCCACACAUCAGGGAUAAGUAUGCUUCUCAGGAAUUUGAAAGCUUAAGUCAUUUGGUGCAGAGGAUUUCUGAUCAAGACGUCAAGCCUUUCGAGCCCAAAAGAGCAUGGAACAAGAAAGUAUCAUUUGUUGAUGAAGCAACGAGCUCCGAUUCUGAUGAGGAACCAGUCAUCGGCUUGGCAGAGUGGGUCAAAAACAAGAAGCCGAUGUCUUGUCCUUUUGGGUAGAAAGAACCUGAGAAGUUCGCUUUCGACACCGCUAAGGCCGAUAAGAUAUUUGAUUUUCUACUCCAGGAAGGUCAGAUCAAGCUGUCUCCUAAUCACAUGAUCCCAUCGGCUGAGGAGUUGAAGAGGAUGAGAUAUUGCAAGUGGCAUAAUGCAACUUCUCAUGACACUAAUGAAUGCAAAGUUUUCAGACAUCAGCUGCAAUCGGCAAUAGAGUCUGGGAGGAUUAAGUUUGACAGUUCCAAGACUCAGAAGCCGAUGAAGAUAGACCAACAUCCUUUCCCGACAAACAUGUUGGAUGCCAAGGGGAAGGCCAAGGUCUUAACAUCGGAAACAGCCGAGAGAAGUGCAUCGGUAGAUCCUCAGCAUCAAGUUACUACUGCCGAUGCAAAAAGUAAGGGUUUAGUCCAGGAAGGAACCAGUUCGGGUAGGCCCCCUCGGUCUGGUAUUGUUAUAACUCAUAGAAGACCUCGAGAGAACUGGCAGCAACGGGAAGAUCGGUAUCGGCGCCAGCAAGAAGAUUAUCGACGGGAGGAAGAAAGACGCCGGCAGGAGUGGAAUCGGCAUAGAGAUCACUGGAACUGCCCGUUCUUCAUCCAUUGUUGGGAGGAAAAUAUCAAGCUUCCUACUGUCAGAGACUGCCCUGAGUGCAAUGGUUAUGAUCGGUACGACAGGACUGAUCGGCGUUAUCAUGAUGACAAUCGGCGAUUUGAUGGGCCGAUCAGAGGAAGAGCAUCGGUUCAUGAUCGGCUGGGGGGCAGGCUUAGCGUGCACGAUAGGCUUGGUGAUCGUGUCCAAUGUUUUCCCAGGAACUAGGAAGAGCUCGAGGAGAUGGCUAAUGCACGAGUUCCCGAUGAGUUUAUAUUUUGCAGGGAUGCUAACACGUAUCGUAUGGAGUCAAGGGAGAACCGACGCCCGGCAGUAAGGCAAAAGCCACUCCCUUCAUGGUGUCCUGAAGGGUUGACCAAGACACAGAAAAGGAGAUUGCUGCGUGAAAGGCAAGAGGAGCUAAACAAGGGCGAAAAUUCUGGUCAGUCUGGAGAUCAGCAGCAAUCAGAUCCUAAGAAAGGAGGUCCAUCGGCAGGAGUUAACAUGGUCUUUAUGUUACCGAUGGAGUUUCUUGCGCCAUCUAGUGAUGAUGAGUUGGAAUUUUCCGAUCAGAUAGCUCAGCUGGCUCUAGAUCCGAUGACGGCUAUCUUUGAGAAACCUGCCGAUGACGAGAGACAGCAUCUCAAAGCUCUAUUCGUCAAAGGAAGGGUUGAUGGGCAGCCAAUGACCAAGAUCCUAGUUGAUGGUGGAGCUGCUAUUAAUAUUAUGCCAUAUGCAGUAUAUCGGAAGCUUGGGAAAGGGGAUCAGGACUUGACCAAGACCGAUAUGAUGCUCAAGGAUUUUGAAGGAAACGUGUCUCCAGUCAAAGGGGCAAUAUGUGUGGAGUUGACCAUCGGCAGCAAAACCUUGCCGACAACUUUCUUCGUAAUCAGUGGAAAGGGUGCUUAUAACUUAUUGUUGGGAAGAGAUUGGAUUCAUGCCAAUUGUUGCAUCCCAUCUACAAUGCACCGAUGCCUGGUUCAGUGGGUAGGCGACAAAAUUGAGAUUGUCCCAGGAGAUUCUUCUUAUGUUAUUGCAUCAGCAGAGGCGGAUACCUAUGAGAGGACUAGGUGCAUUUCAGGGGAAGUUUGGGAGAAGGAUUUUCUCAAAGUUGCCGAUUACGAGAUUCCACCGAUCCAAGCAGUCGGUUCUGACGACGGUUUUUAAUGGAUAGGUUCGCCGACGAUGGAAAAUUAGGCCAGGGAUUCACAUCGGCCGAUGAUUUGGUAGAAGUAGAUAUAGGUAGUGGAGAUAAGCCUAGGCCUACUUUUAUUAGUGCUAAGUUAAAUCCUGAGUGUAAGCAGCAAUUAACCAAUUUAUUAAAGGAAUAUAAAGAUUGCUUUGCUUGGGAUUAUACCGAGAUGCCUGGUUUAGACCGAUUAAUUGUUGAACAUCGGUUACCCAUCAAGUCUGGAUUUCGGCCACAUCAGCAGCCAGCUCGCCGAUGUAAUCCUAAUAUUCUACCUGAUAUUAAGGACGAAAUCACUAAGCUUAUUGAAGCUAAGUUUAUUCGGCAGUGUCGGUAUGCCGAAUGGAUUUCCAAUGUCGUUCCGGUUUACAAGAAAAACGGGAAGCUUCGAGUGUUCAUUGAUUUCAGGAAUCUCAAUAAAGCUACGCCGAUGGAUGGAUACCCAAUGCCUGUUGCUGAUCUGUUGGUUGACGCCGCGGCUGGUCAUCGGGUCAUCAGCUUUAUGGACGGCAAUGCAGGAUACAAUCAAAUAUUCAUGGCAGAGGAAGAUAUUCCAAAAACCGCAUUUAGGUGUCCUGGUCAUGUUGGGUUAUUUGAAUGGAUAGUUAUGACCUUUGGGUUGAAGAAUGCUGGUGCUACUUAUCAAAGAGCCAUGAAUUUUAUAUUUCAUGAGUUCAUCGGCAAGCUGGUGGAGAUCUAUAUUGAUGAUGUGGUGGUUAAGUCUGGGGAUUUCUCAGAGCAUCUUGCCGACUUACAAAAGGUGUUAGAGUGCACAAGGAAGCAUGGGUUGAAGAUGAAUCCCAAUAAGUGUGCAUUUGGUGUAUCGGCAGGGCAGUUUCUUGGUUUCAUGGUACAUCAAAGGGGGAUUGAAAUUAGUUGAAGAUCUAUUGAUGCCAUCAAUAAAAUAGUGGCCCCUACCAACAAGACUGAGCUCCAGUCCUUAAUCGGCAAGGUAAAUUUUAUCAGGAGAUUUAUAUCCAAUCUGUCUGGUAAGAUUCGUGCUUUCAGUCCUCUCCUUAAGUUGAAAGCCGAUCAAGAGUUUAUUUGGGGAAAAGAGCAGUAGUUGGCUUUGGAUGAAAUCAAGAAAUAUCUAGCGAAUCCUCCAGUUCUAGUUCCACCUCAGCAGGGAAAGCCCUUCAGAUUGUAUUUGUCUACUGAUGGGACGGUCAUCGGUUCGGCUUUGAUUCAAGAAUUUGAAGGGAAAGAGCGUGUAAUUUAUUACUUAAGCAGGAGAUUAAUUGAUGUUGAGACCAGGUAUUCGGCCAUUGAGAAGUUAUGCUUAUGCUUAUAUUUUUCAUGUAUUAAAUUGAGGCACUGUUUAUUAUCGGCCGAAUGCACUGUUGUUUGCAAAGAUGAUGUGGUCCGAUACAUGCUAUCGAUGCCGAUUAUGAGUGGCAGGAUCGGUAAAUGGAUUUUAGCACUGUCAGAGUUCGAUCUGCGUUACGAAUCGGCUAAGGCAGUUAAACGACAGAUUAUGGCCGAUUUUGUGACUAUUGCGGUGUAGUGGAGGCCUUGGAAAUUGUGCCCUGGACACUUUUCUUUGAUGGAUCUACAUGUGACCGGGGGGCAGGAAUCGACAUUAUAUUAGUUUCCCCUAAGGGGAGGAAGUAUGAAUUUUCCUUGCCGAUUGUUGCUACAUCGACAAAUAAUCAGGCUGAGUAUCAAGCUCUGAUCAAGGGAUUGGAGUUGUUAAGAGAAAUUCGUGCUGAUGCUGUUGAAAUUUUUGGGGAUUCUAUGUUGGUUAUAAAUCAAUUGGCCGGGAGCUAUGAAUGCUGAAGUGAAGUUCUCAUAACUCAUUUCGAGAAAAGCUUGCAACUGUUGAAAGAAUUCAAAGAUUUCCGAUUAGAGCAUAUUCCUCGAUUGCAUAAUGAAGAGGCCAAUCGGUUAGCUCAGCAUGCCUCCGGAUAUCAGCCUAUGAUUAAUGCAAUAUCGGCAAUCGGUGCCGAUGAUUGGAGGAAGGAAGUUAUUGAUUAUCUAAAGGAUCCAUCCAAGAAAGUUGAAAGACGAGUUCGAUUUCAAGCAACCAAAUAUGUGCUCCUCGAAGAUGAAUUGUAUUAUCGAACUAUUGAUGGAAUUCUUCUCCGAUGUUUGGGUGAUGAUGAAGCUAGGAGUUUAAUGGGAGAAAUCCAUGAAGGGGUAUGUGGAGCACAUCAGUCGGCUUUCAAGAUGAAAUGGAUGAUUAGAAGGAAUGGAUAUUUUUGGCUGACUAUACUUGAGGAUUGCUUUAAGUAUUUCAAGGGAUGUCAAGGUUGUCAAAAGUUUGGUAACAUUCAAAGAGCACCCGCAUCGGCUAUGAAUCCUAUUAUCAAGCCUUGGCCGUUUCGGGGAUGGGCUAUCGAUCUGAUCGGCCAGAUUUAUCCACCAUCUAGUAAGGGGCAUAAGUUUAUUUUGGUUGCCACUGAUUAUUUUACUAAAUGGGUUGAAGCUAUUCCUUUGAAGAAGGUCACCUCGGCCAAUAUGAUUGAUUUUGUGAAGGAACACAUUAUUUACCGAUCUGGGAUUCCUCAGACAAUUACUACCGAUCAGGGCACUAUGUUCACAUCGGGGGAGUUUGACGAAUUCGCAAUCGGUAUGGGGAUUAAAGUGUUGAAUUCUUCUCCUUAUUAUGCUCAAGCCAAUGGGCAGGCCGAAGCAUCUAACAAAGGGAUUAUCAAGCUUAUUAAACGAAAGAUUGAAGAAAAUCCUAAGCGGUGGCAUACAUUGUUAAAUGAAGCACUGUGGUCUUAUCGGAUGGCUUGUCAUGGAUCAACCAAGGUGUCACCCUAUCAAUUGGUGUAUGGACAUGAUGCAGUGUUGCCUUGGGAGAUUAAGGCCGGAUCUAGGCGAUUAUCUUUUCAAGAUCGGUUAACCGCCGACGAUUAUGCUACUUUGAUGACCGAUGAGUUGGAUGAUCUAGCAGGGCAUCGGUUAAAAGCUUUAAUGAGUAUAGAAGAAAAUAAGAAGAGAGUUGCUAGAUGGUAUGAUAAGAAAGUGAAGGCUAAGGAGUUUGUCGAUGGGGAUUUGGUAUGGAAAUUAAUUUUGCCAGUCGGGACUAAAAGUGCGAAGUUUGGAAAGUGGUCUCCUAAUUGGGAAGGUCCUUAUCGGAUAAGUCGAUCGGCUCCUGGUAAUGCCUAUAUUCUAGAAACUCUCGAAGGAGUUGAAUUUUCUAGAGCAUUAAAUGGCAAAUAUUUAAAGAAGUACUACCCCAGCAUAUGGGUCGAUGCAUAAAAGUUUAAAUGCCGAUAACACUCCUAUCGGCUGGAUUCAAAUGUUUGGGGGCUUAGUGUUUCAAAAGAUGCCGAUAACAGUCCUAUCAGCUAGACUAAAAGCUGAGGAAGUAGGGAAGCACAGAUAUGAUGCCGAUGAAAACUUUAUGUGUUAAGCAGCGCCUGGAUUGCCGAUAUAGCACGUAGCCGGAUUUGGUUGGCUGCUUCUAUCUCCUUAAUGUCAUCAUCGGCAGAACCCUCUAUCGGCUUCAGUUUCUUCUUCAGUUGAAGUGCCUUGCGACCAUGAACGUUUCGCUCGUGCUCAAGAAGCUUGAUGGUCUCUGGCAGUUGGCUCUCUUCCUGUUGAGCUUGGGAUAAGGCGUCCUCCACUUCCUUGAGUUCUGCCAACAAGGAUUCUCUUCUUGCCGAUAGAUCGGAUAUUUUCUGCUUCAGCGCGUCUCCUGAAGAUCUCAGGAUGCUGAUGUUCUUGUGCUUCUCAUCGGUCAAGAGCUUCUCUUUCCUCAUUUCGUCGGAGAGUUGAGUCUAAGCAGCUCUAUCGGCAAGACGCCGAGAAGCUCUCUGGUACUGCAGCUGGCGACUCUCCAAAUGAGCGGCUUGGAAAAGGGUUUCUUCGACAUCGGCUGGGAUUUGGCCUCUGAGAGUUCUGAACAGGGUCUUGGUAGGGUCGGAGUCGUCAACCAACUGCGCUGUGUCUUGGUGAAGGAGAGCUGACAAUUCCUCCAGUCUGGUCCUGAUCUCUGCCGAUGUAAUGCCAACUGUCUGAGAAGAGCUUGCCUCUUCGCCUUCUUCUUCAGAGAGAUCGAUGGCGAAGGAGAACAGGCUGUCGGGAGAAUCUUGUUCCUAGGAGGGAGAGCAAAGUUAGUUCAUACUCGGAGAAUCGGCAAAUAAUACUGGUAAAGGUUGGGUGGCUUACUUGUUUUAAGGCUAUUUCCUGCCUUUGUCUGAAAGAUGCCGAUGGAGAUGCAGGUUGAUCGGCUAGGGUUGCCGAUGGGACGAUAUCGACUGAAAGAAGACAGGAAGGGUUAUGAGACUAAAUGAGAAUAAGUUUAUCGGCGGAAGUAUUGUUGAAAUAUGUUACCUGGAGGAGGAACAACAGUUGUCUGAAUCGGAGGAACCGCCGAUGAUAUAAUUGGACCUGCUGGGCCCAUUGUUUGUUCACCCACGUCAGCUGAUGUACCUUCUGUUUGAGGUUCUUCCUGCUGGGGUUCUUCCAUCUGUGGUGCUUCCUGCAUUGGUUGGGAAGAUGGUGCUUGCUGUGUCUGGACUCCUGGAGAAGAAGGAGAGGACUCCACCAGAAUUGGAGACACCGGAGGAGGAGGGGGACUUGCCACUUUCUGGCGCUUUGUUCCAGCCUUAGCACCUUUGGUGCCCUUUCUCUUUGGCUGGCUAGACUGGGGGGCAUCGGCACUUUGGCGCUUGGCUUUUGCCGAUGUACGGGUUUGCUGCAACAACGAAAAGGGGUUUAUAAGCACAGAUGUAGCCGAUAUAAAGAUGGUCAGUGUAAAAGAAAAAGAUUUGACAAAUUGCCUUGAAAGCCUGCACCAGAGUGGAAGCAGCUACCGUAGGUGAUGUCUGAGCUCUCUUGGUGGUGACUUUCCUGAGGCGCACACCCCGAUGCACGACGGAAGCUAGAGUGGGAGCAUUGUGGCCGACUGAGGAGAUCGGGCCUGAUGGAAACAAGUCAAUCGGCUUGCCACUCCUGCUAACCGAUGGGGGGAUGUUGUCAACCUGCAGAAAGAAUACAAGGGUAAGCUACCGAUGGAAAUAGUAUUGAAAAAUGAAACAUCGAUUUUAAAAUACUUACAGUGUCAUCGGGGAUUUCGUAUUCGGGGUCGAUCAUGCCGCGGUAUGAGAGGGCCGAUCUACAGAAUAGAUGCUCUUUCCAUUCUGCCCACCAUAGCUUGUAUGCCUGAGUAAUAAAGGCAGCUGGAACCCAUUCUGACAGAUCUACAUCUGUAUCGGCAUUUGGUGGUAGUUGGGCUACUCGAAUCCAUUCAAGAAAGUUGGUGAUGGGUUCUCUGGGUUUUAUCACAUCGGCAUAAGGGAGUGCAAUCGGUAACUGGCCGAAAGCUAGCUGACGGGCUAAGGCCGAUGAAUUGUAAAAUUCAUAGGUUUGGGGAGAGGUUUUUGUGCUACCAAAGAAAUUCACUGGUAUGGCUCUAGGAGUCACAAUUGCCAUCAUCACCUCAUUAUCCCUGUCAAGAGCUUCAUCAAAUGGAUUGAAGGUUAGAGGGAGCAUGCUGUCUGGGUCAUCAUAAGCCAACCAUGGUCGUUCAUCUCUGGCCAAUCCCUCAUACAGAGUCUGGAAGAAUCGGCCGAUUUGAUCCGGAUUACUCCCUGAACCAGGUAGAACUAUGGCAGCUUCGCCAAAGUUCAGGGGGGCACGUGUUGCCGAUUCCUCUUCGCCCAACACAUGAUUUUCGGCUAUAUCUCUUGGGAAAUGCUGUGUGAACAAGUUGAAGUCAAGGCGCUUAUGCAAGUGCAGAUUGAGCCACAUGUUAAUAAACCACCAGGGACCUCCCAAGUUACCGAUAGACUGACCAAGCAGGAGUUUCUGGGCUGCCUGAUGGAGAAGAUGGUAAGUAGCGCCAAGCAAGUAUCGGCCGAGAGGAAAUUGGCCACCGUUAGCCAGUCUCUCUGCUGCCGAUAGAUAGACAGAAGUCGGUCCUGCCGAUCCACCACAGAAUACGAACUUGUCCAGCCACAUGCUCAGAAAGGUAGUUUGUUCCUUUAUGGUGACAGGCCCCUUCCCACGGUACUUUUGAAUGUACCCCGACCAACCGCCGAUAGCGCGAGUCUCCACUUUGGCACUAGGAGCGGUAUCAAAGAAGUGGGUGCUAUCGGCAGAAGAGACGUCUAGACCAGUGAGCAUAGCUACAUCGGCAAGAGUGGGAGAAACAGGGUCGUGGCCAAAGACGAAGGCAUUAAGGGUAUCUGACCAAAAAUAAGACGCAGCUAUCAACAGCGACUCGUUCUUGUGCAUAUCGGCAAUAGAUAGCCUGAUGCAUUGGGCUAGCUUCCUUUCACCCCACUGGACUUCAUUCGAAUUGCUGACUCUCAAGAACCAGUCUUUCCACCCUACAGUAGGGCUGGGCCAAGAGCGAAAGGUGUCUUUCCACAGAUCUAAAGAAAAAUUUUCGGCUCUAAAGGGAAUCCUGUUGGUUUCUGCAUUGAUAAGGUCAGUUGGAUCUGGAUCCCCUAGAGGGCCGAGACAUUGGAGGUGUGGUUGAUCGGUGGGGAUGACAAUUUUGUUGGACAACUCCUAGUGUUUUGGGGAAUAAAAAAAAUACAAAGAAAAAGGAAAAGGGAGAUAUUCAGUAAGAUGAAUCGCGGAUGAAGAGGAAUACGAGAAGAAUACAGGAGAUGAGAUGGAGAUCUGACCUCAGGGACGACGAAGCCAAUGGCCAUCUUGUCGUGAAGAGAACGUUUGAGGGCACCGGAGUUGAUGAAGAGGAGUGCUUGUCGGAGGUCUUGAAGGUUGUGAAUGGCGCCGCCGCUGGAAAAGUAAAAGUAGGGAUGGUGAAAUGAUGUGAUGGAGAAGGAGUACCUGAGAAGGAACUAUUUAUAGGAUAAAACGGGCAAGGGCAAAUCUGACUUAUCUCUUUGCCGCAUCCGAGAAACCCGAGGGUGCUCAGGUAGAUAUGGUAACUGUUCGCAUGGUAAUCAAGGGAUUGUGCAGGUGAUUUGACGGGGAAGAGUCAUUACCUGGAGAUAUUUUACUGUGCGGGAUCUUCUGGUCGGUCCAUCGGCAGCAUACGGUAACGGUCAUAUUGCCGAUGGGCGGAUAAAGUAAAGGUAGCCAUUUGUACAAACGUCCUGAUUAGUCCAUCGGUAGAUCUUCGUAACGGUAAUAUUGCCGAUGUGCGGAUGAGAAGGAAGUGCCCGUUCCGGAAGUUGAGGAUUUCGAGGAAUCUGCAGGAGAAUAGGAUCGAAGUUGUUUGGAUUGAGGUUGUCGGUUACCAGAUUAGGAGCAUUAAUUGCGGGAAAAGGCAUCAUUACUGCAGAAAAUUUUGGAGCAUUAAUAGUUUCAUACUCCCAAAUUGGGGGGCAUGUGUUGACACCAUUUUUGGGCACGUGUCCAGGAUGGCAGUAUAAGAUGACAGUAUGUGGUUUACAGGAUGAGUUGCCGAUGAGGAUGGUUGCCGAUAAAGGAGAGGUUGGACGUGACUAAGUUUACAGGUGAUGAUGUAUCUAUGCCGAUGACUAUGAUGAGGAGGUCUGCCGAUGACCAUGGCAAAAGAGUUUGCCGAUGAUACGGAGGGGGAGUCUGGAAGCUGCUGAUUGGGUUGUGGAAGAGUUUCAAUUUGUCACGAGGGAUAACUGAGUUAUUUCCUUAUUUGUUUAAGAAGUUUUGUAUAUGGAUUCCGUGUAAUUUGGAAUUCGAAUUCUGGUCGUGUUUAGUUAUAGCUCUUUAAGCAGGGUAUAAAUAUGGACCCUAGGGCUUUCUAAUGAGACAUCUAUCAAUCAAUCAAACACACGUUUUUACUCAUAUUCCAGCAUCUACUUUUCGACGACUUCGUCAUACUUUUUCCCUUUUAUUACGAGUUCUUAGGAAUUCGUCGACUUAAGCUCGGCGUGUUCUCAAGUUCCGCAUGAGUACCUCUUAGCCGUGACAUCCGGGCGCAUCGCUGUUGUCAGGACUAAAGUAUUCGAGUUAUCACCUUUGCUGAUAGUAAGGUCAAAUCAGCUGGCACGCCUUAACGUUUGAAUUGGGUAUUAGCCCUUUGUGUUUGCAGACCAGCUUUUGCACCAACAGAGAAAAAGAAAAAGAUACGAGGAAAUAAAAAGGAGCAAGUGCUCGGAACCUCGAAAGAAAAGAAAAAGAUGAGCAUCUCAUUCUCCUCAUAAAGUUUCAAAAGCAAGGAAGGUAUGUAACCCUUCAAAAGAGCAAAGUAGAAUUAGACUUCCACCACCAUUGUUUCCACCAUUGUUAUCACCGUUAUCACCAUACACCAUUCAUUCGCCACACAUGCACAUCUUGAUUUGGCUUAUUGAUAUGUUUCUUUGGAUCCAUGGUUUGACUAUGCAAUAAAUGUCUUGUAAGUAUGUAUACUUUAUCUCCCACCUAUGAGCUCCAGAUAUUAAAGCCUUAUUAGAGUAGGGUGAGAGAGAAGGCAAUGUCACUAUGCCUCAUACCACAAAUACUACAUAUCUUGAGAGAAGGCAUAUACCAUCACUGCCUUGGUAAGGAUCCAGAAAUACCACAAAAGAGAGAUAUGAGAGAAUCAUACAAGGAAUCUUUGAGUUUUAUUUGAAAAUCUGCAAAAACCCUAGAGCUAUAGUUGAUCAAGAAUAAGAGACAUGGCACUUGGCUAGAUUGUUCUAUCUUUUAACUACUCAAGACAGAAGUGACAGUUACAAGUCCCAUGGUGAAGGUAAAGUAAGUAAGUUUUAAGUCUUGACAGUUUACUCUAACUCAGAGACGAGAUCUUAUUCAAAAGCAUGUGUACCGUCAAUUUUUUAAAUAUUGCAACAACUUAUGAUCCAUAGCUGAGUCUAUCCUUGCUCAGGGACGAGCAAGAGGUAAGCUUGGGGGAGUUUGUUGACGGUCCUUAAGUAUCAAAUUUAAUUAUCAAAUAAAUAAAGAAAAGGAUCUAAAUGAAAUCAACAUCCAGACUUAGGGUUUUAUCUGACAGAAUUCCACGAGUUUUGGUGUUUGUCUAUUUCUGUAGGGGGUUAUCAAGAAAUAUGGAAGAAAUGCCCAAAUGUUGGGAUUACGUAAAUAUAUUAACGUGCUGUGCAAUUACCUUACAUCUAGAAGACUCCAGAAGCCACGAGACCGAAGCGGAAGCGAAACGGGGCCUGAGCCUGGGCGGCCGCCCAGUUGGUCAGGGCGCCCGCCCUGCCCCUGAGUCCAAUCAGGACUCUGCUUUGCGGGAGAUCUCCACCGACCUAAAGGAUGAAUCUAAACCAUACAAUCUAUGUCGGUUUGAUCCAAUGGCCCAUAUUCACUUGGAGGGACUAUAAAACCAGACCCCCUGGCCCCUGGAGGAGAGAGCCUCUCAACCCUAAUUCAUUGUUCCAUCAAGGGAGAAGAAGCCUCUGAUCAAGAUUAGAGCCACCACAUCAAUUAGACAUCUAGAUUAGCAUAGCUACAUAGGAUUAGAACUAGAAGGAGUCAAUCUUUGAUUGGUUUCCGGAUCUGUCAGGAGGAUUCUUGGUAAUUCUCUAAUUGUGCUUCUAAUUGCUUUCUAAUUAUCUUUGUUCUUCAAUAUUAUGAAUAUGACUUUGUUCUACUUCAAUAUAUUGCUUUCAAGAUUAUAUUGUUCUUAGUUUAUCAUAGUUAUGUACUUGGCUUAGUUAGAUACGAUCUAUAUACAUGCUUAGGAUCGUAUAGCGUUUAUCCAUCGGAUCCAUGGGUAAAUGAUAGAUAUUGUGUAGGCGUGGUGCUUAUACCGUAUUUAUCUGCGAUUGUACCCAAUAUGCCAGAUCGUGGGGUGGUUCGUGAUAGUGACAGCUUCAUUGAUUCUUAUAUAGUCCCCCUCUCAUGUAUUGGGCUGGCAGAGCAACAUUAUUACAGGGGAGUGAUUGCUAUGUUUCUCAUAUUCCUUGCUAAUAUCACUAUGCAUGGGCGUAGUCUUGUCUCACAAUGAUUGCUAAGUAUGCUUGCACUAAUUAUGAUAAUGCUAGACUAUAUAGUUGAGAAUAACUUAGGGAAUAUUCUUGUAGUUCGUUCUAAUACCAUGCUAAUGACUUUCUAGAGUAUCUAAUUGAGGUGCUUAUCAUAUUUAUUAUGUGGCUAGAUCAGAUUAGUUAUCCUUGUCACUAUUAUUAUUUCAUAUAUCUUUUAUGUAACACUUAUCCCUGUAUGAGAAGUUAGAUAUAAUGUUCUCAAUUAUACAUGCAAUGAUAGAUGCUCAAUCUCAUAUUCUAUUCUGUAAUCAAUAGUGCUGAUUGCUAAUCCCUUCCCAGUGGUAAAAAUAUAAAUAACGAUACCUGGAAUACUUCCCGGUUAAAAUGCUACAUCGGUAUUAAUCUGUGCGCUUGCAGAUCCCAUUCAUUAUUUAUUUAGAAGAGCAAUUGCAUAUUUCAAUACCGCGUCUCUCAUAUCAUGCUGGGGAUGACAACUUGGCUUAAGUGGUGUGAGGGAUAGGUUUGGCAUUUUUGGCACCGUUACUAGAUUUAGAGAACUUAGUCUACUUUUGGUAAUGAUGUUAAGAAUACCCAACAGCAUGCAUUCGUCUCUCGAUACGAUAACUAUCGAUUUACACGUGCGCUGUUAGAGUACCUGCAGAAAACUUCAUUGCAGCCCAACAAUACCCAAUAUAUCACUCAAGAAAGCAGUAAACUAAGUGCACAUUGCUUGUACAGGCCCAACAUGCACAAACAAUGACACCACAGCUACCCGAGAAAUUAAAUGCUCCCCAAUUAAGUUUCUUUCGUGGUUCCAUGGUUAGACAUAUAACCACUAUAAAAAACCACCGCGAACACUCCCCUAGACCGCCGUUUGGAUGAUCAUGCUCUCACAGCUCACACUUACCAAGGCGUAGGUGUGACGUUGCAUAAUUUAAAUCUAGCGACAUAUGUGGCUAAUUCAUAUAUGAAGGCUACCUCUACCAUUAGACCACAGGGUAGCAUAGUGCGGUCAUCACACAUCCAUACCUGAGUACUGCCGGAGAUGCAUAAAUAAACCCCCCCAAGUCAGUACUUAAAUAGCCACCUAUAGUCCUUAUAUGGGCAAGGAGGAUUCGACCAUUGGCAUAAUUAAGUAUUUAAUUUUUCACAGUUUUAUUUAAAAACUAUUUUGUUUUUAAAUACACAAACGCUGCAUUUAUAAUGCUGAACUUGCUCCGAUGCCAGCUGUCACAGAACCGACUAAAUUAUAAGAGUUCAAGUGUAGAAAUGAUCAACUAGCAAUCAAGUUUCUAAACUUGAGCCCAUAUAAUCCCGGUAGUCAACUGAAAUCACGAAGGACUUCAACCCAACUUGCAACAAACCAAGAUCAUAAUAGUUCAACAUAACACAGCAAAUGUUACAUAGUCAUUCAUCGCCGUCGAAGCGGCACCACAUCGGAGUUACUUAGUCAUUACUACACAAGUUUGUAGUAGCAGAAGCAAAAUAGUUUACAACACACAUUCCAAAGUUCAGUUCAUAAGUUCUUGUUUCUGCCAGAGUCUCAUGCCAUCCAUCAAAAGCAAUAGGUACGAAGUAGUUAGAGAACCGUGCCCAACGGUUUAGUCCUCAUCCCCAGCGGGAUGUAGACAGGUCUUGCAGAAGCCAUCAUAAAAGAUAUCAUCUGCAACAGGUGGGAAUAAACCCUGAGUACGAGAAUGUACUCAGCUAGACUUACCCGUCUAGUAAACAUAAAAGACACCAAGGAUCAUGCAAGUCUAAGUAUAAAGUGUAGCUGGUUUGACUCAACAUUUGCCAAAAGCUUUAGUAGAGACUACACCAAUUGUAACAGCAUCAUGUUAAAUAUCAUUAGCCUACCACUAGAUUAGCACCUAUACUAAAGCACUUCACUUUGAUUAAUACACACAAUAAUAACCACAUCAAGUUCAUCAUAUGCUCUUCCUUGCUAUCAUCAUUAUCACGAACCAUUGUUCUUUAGUGAAUGCUACGUUUGCCGCUGCUCUGUCAAGUUCUCACUAUCCGGGAGAGACGGCGAUUCGAAUCGAUUCCUAUCCAGCUGGAGGGUUAUUCCCAGCACUCACCCAAGCAUCCCCCGUCGGAGAGCCAGCGGGUCACCUUUGGUACAACUCAGGAAUCGCGGCUCCGAUCAGCGCCGUACUCCUAGGGCUACCACUCUGUCAGGGAGGUUAGGACUUUUAACUCACCUACCUUUGGACUUACACCAAUGGUCCCCCACACACCGCACUUCCUCCGGUAGUGCGCACUUUAUACUUGCCGGUGUUCCAGCCUGAGUCAUACUACUAGGCUUCGCGGUCAGAACGAGUUAUCCAGCCAACUAAGUGUCAGGCAUGCGUUCAACAUGACAAGAGGACGUACAACGAUCAGUCCUUAGCUGCCACAGACGGAGUUACUAAAACCUUGCAAAACUCCGCCCAGCUUAAGUCAUUUUAAUCAGGUUCUUUCCACAAUAGCACAUAUAGACAAUCGUGAUCCGACAUAACCCUAUCUCGCGCAGGUGACAGGAUAUCACCCGACUUCUACCGAUUAAGCAUGGCUAAGCUGCUACUCGGUCCUAACUCUACAACCAGGUGGUGGUAAGAUAUCUAUACAAGGAAUGAGUAUAAUGCAGCAAGGGUUUCAUCACAACUCCUAUAGGUAAUGCAUCAAUAGAUAUAACAUAAUCAAGUAAGCUUUUGAAAUUAAAAUGGGAGACUUAAGAUGCUCCGGGGCUUGCCUUUCACGAACGAUGCAGGCUCGUGAUUAGGGCACUUGAUCUCCUCUUCGGGCUCCUCGUGUCCGGCUUGCUGGAUCUCCACCUCCAGAUUGAUCUCCUGGCCCUCGGGGUUCACCUGGAGCUCGAACGAAGCGGUCGUUUCCGGUGCACCUAUUGCAUGCACGAUGAACAAGAAUGUGUGCAUCCUAGAUGAGGAUGAAUACUUGAUAACAUAAUUAGAACUCACUGGACACUCAUUUAUGGAGUAACUGUCAUAACAAGUUCACACAAGAUGAUUACUACUUAGCGAGAUUACCAAGUUAAACUACAAACAACAAUGACCAACAUAACAGUGCAGCUCAAGGAAUAAAUCAUAACUGGAGCUAUACAGAUCCAACAAACAUGAAUGAGGACAUUCUGGAAAGCUUAUGAAAUUUUCUACAUUUCAUCUUUAAACAUUACAUUAAGAUUCAUAACUUAAACAAGUCACUUAAAUAAAGUUCCAGGUUCUGUCCCAGAAAAAAACAGAGAACACCUAUUUCUGGAACCCAACUUGGAAAAGCCAUAACUUCAACACUACUGGACCAAAUGAUCCCAAAAUUAAACCACAGCUAGUUCAUAAAGUUUACAACAACUUUGAUUUAGACAAGUCUUCCAGGAAACCAAGUUAUCAUUAAGCAAUGGUUGGAUUACUCCCUUGCUGUCCAGAACAGCUUUGAACCCUUUGAUUAAUUGUUUAAUGACAUAGACAAAACAUAAUUAGUGUCAACCACAUGGCUUAUAAGCACAAGCAUACUAUAAGAUUACCAGAACAUCCCAUGUUAACCACUAAACAUAUAAUAACAUGGCAUUUAUUAAAUUAAUUUCAUAAAAGGACAUAAUUACAAGAUACUAGCAAAAGUGCUCAGAAAAAUCUACAAAAAUUACAGCAGGACAAGCAUAGCAUCCUGAUAUCACCAUAAAAUUUUCAGAGCAAAUGCACAUGCCAAAAUUAAGAUAAGUAUUUAACAUGUAUCAAGGUGCUUAUUUCAUAAAUUAAGAAAGAUGGCUUAGAUAGUGUCAAACAACAGAUUUCAGAUUAUUUAAAUGUGACUAUUACCAUAAACAAGUUUGACACCAGAGUAGAGCACCAGCAUAAGUAUAAAUCAUUUACUAUGAUUUAAAUAAGAAAACAAGCCAUAUCACAAACAUAAAUUACAUAUCACAGAUACAGUACUCUAAAAAUCAUGAAAUAUUUAUCAUAGCAUUCUAAUGUCACUCAGAGACUACCAUAAAAUGGUCAUAACAAAAGGAGCAGUAUAUCAACAGAUAUGAAUUUACACAUGAAUAACAAGAUUAAAUCCUAAUAAUUAUUUAUCCCAGAAAACAUGGUACAUUUUAUAUUUUUACUAAAAACUAGCCAUCUCAAGGAACAUCACAAAAUUUGUUUCACAAUUUUUCGAUCUCAGAAACUGGAGAUAUGAUUUUUGCAAGAAUGCCAAAAAUCUGGAUUUGAAUAAAAGAGAGGAGAGGACCGUUGAGUCACUGACAGCGGGUCCCGCGCGUCAGCGACCCAGAGAACAGGGGACACCUUCGCCGGCGAAUGCUCGCCAAUGGUGAGCUUCUCCGACGGAUCCAAGGGCACCAACGUGCUCCUGGAGUGAUUCCGCAUCGAUGGAGGUAGGUAACACUAGGGUUACAGCGACGGAGAGGGGUCGCCAUCGGCCAUGGCAGCACGGCGGAGCUACCCCGGCUUACGCCGGCCAUCUCCGACCGGUAGAGCAUCGAAGAAGAGUGGCCUAAGCACGAGUGAGACAGCGCGGAGCUUUCUAGGUAGAAAUGCCUAACCCUAAUGGCUCCGGUGAGUAUGCUCACGUGCGAGGUAUCGUCGGCGUUUAGCACGACGGCGCGGCGACCGUGUUCCCGCACGACGGUGGCUCCAAGGCCGGAAUGGCGUGGCAUGAACCACCACCGAGACCUAAGCAAACCCUAACGUGACUCAGAGGGAAGAAAGGAGGCAAGAACGGAGCAGCGGUGAGGUUCGCCGGAAUCGGGGUCGCGACGGCCGUGAACCCGACGACGGCGAUUCGCAAAAUGCGGCUCACCUCGGGGAGAUCUCAUCCAACCAAGGGGUGGAGAAGAUGGAGGAGCUCGAGGCGGACUUGGAGACGCUCGGAGGCGAGGCGAGACGCAGAGGCGAGGGCGCGAGGAGCUCACGAAGCUCUCGGCGGCAAUGGCGAUGGUGCUUUCGCCGACUGAGUCGCGAGAGAGAGAAAGGAAGAGAGUGGACGAGCGCUGGGUGAGUGCGGGGCGUCGUGGCGUCCAUGAUGACGUCGUCGACCACACGAGCGGGGCCAACGCCGGCGUACGGGCGCCAAAUGGCAGCAAGGUGUCGCGCUGGGUGACCACGACGGCGAGCUCGGCUUCGAUUCAGACCAAACGAUGACCGACUGACAGUGCUACUUUGACAGAGAUUAUCUCCCAAACCAAGGUGAAUUAGGAGAUGGUGUAGUUGACAAAGUUGAAGUACUAGCUGAGUUCUACAACAUUAUCAACUAGAGCAAGAGCCAGAUCGGCCUGGAUUGAGAGAUAUGAAGCUCCCAAAAUCGAUCAAGCAAACUGGUGGCGCCAGGACUUAGCCAAAUUUGGUUAAGUGCCAAAACAGCCCCCAAAACUUCAUUGAAAGCACUUUUUGAUCAAGAUGUGAUCAUUUUCAUGAGAUGGCCAUAAAACAACUUUUUGUUCCUUAUAAAAUUUGCUACAACUUUGCUGUAGAAAGUUUUGACAUGCAAACACUUUAUGAAACUCUUUUUAAAAGCUUAAGCAAAAGAGGUUUCUAGGGCCUAUACAUGGAUGUAUGACUUAAGCACUUAAUUUGGAGAAGUGAUCAACAUAAACAUUAUUCCUAAGGUUGAGUUAAGCAUAGAUAAACUAAUUACCAAGGCAUAGCACAUAAGCAUGGGCAUGUCACAAACCAACACAAGCAUAGGAAACAUAAUUAAGCAAGUUAAAUCACAUUUUUGCAUAAAAUGACAUGACUCAAGGUAGAUGAUGAUCAUGAUAUGCUUAAGUAGAUGAUGAUGCUUGUUGACGGUCCUCAAUGCACAUAUUUAACCAUCAAUUAAUCAUAGAAAAGGAUCCAAAUGCAACCAACACCUAGACUUAGGGUUUUAUCUGAUAGAAUUCCACGAGUUUGGUGUUUGUCUAUUUCUGCAGGGGGUUAUCAGGAAAUAUGGAGGAAAGGCCCACACGUCGGGUUUACAUAGAGAUAUUAACGUGCCGCGCAAUUUUCUAUCAUCUAGAAGACUCCAGAAGCCAUGGGACCGAAGCGGAAGCCGAGAGGCCUCAGGGACAGGGCGCCCGCCCUAGUCCUGAGGGCGCCCGCCCUCCCCCCUGGACCAAUCAGGGUGAAGUUCGGGGAUCAUGCUCCACCGACCUAAUACUUCAAGGAAAACCACACGAUCAAUGUCGGUUUGAUCCGACGGCCCAGAUUCACUUGAAGGGACUAUAAAACCAGACCCCCCUGGCCCCUGGAGAUCAUACCUCUUCUACAGAAUCAAAGCUAGGGUUUCAAUUCUUCAUCCAAGUAGAGAGGAUCCCUCUAGUUCUUCUAGUUCUACCUCUAGUUCAUCUAGAUCUAGUUCUAGUUCAUCUAGUUCUAGUUCUAGUUCUAGUUCUUCUAGUUCUAGUUCUAGUUAGUUCUAGUUGUAAUCUAGAAAAUAGGGAGAGAGAAGAGGAGAGCGGAGGAGGAGCCGGAUCUGUCGGAUCUUCCUCAACAUUAUACUUUUGCAGCAACUGGUUCGUUCUUCAUCGUUCUCCAGGUUCUUCAAUUCAUAAUUCCUGAGUUCUCUAAUUACUUUUAUUUACAUUCAAGUUAUUUAUUGGAUUCCCGCUUGCAUCAAGUGCUCUAGUCUUUAUAACGCUAGAGUAGUAAUUAAUAGAUUAGACGUGGUGUUUAGUCUUCCGAUUACCUGGAAUUGCACCCAAUCCCACGGAUUGUUGUGGUAGCCCUAGGGUAGUGACAGCCCUAACGGUCGACGUAUUCCACCACGUUCGGAUUGGUGUUUGUAGGACCGUAGUCAGACCUUCCUAGCCCCCUUCUCAUCUCUUUCUGUGGUUAGUGCUCUGAUGUCCCGAUAUAGAUAAUCUUGAAGUAAUUCUUGAUUCUUAGAUCAACUAGAGAACUCUCAGGAAACUUCCUCUCUUCCCAUCAAAAAUAAUUAUAUAGUUAUCCUUGGGCGAUCUUGGAUCUUAAUUAGUACACUCACGUUCUCUGUGGAAAAUCGAUACUCUGGAAUACUCCCGGGUGAGGGCUACAUCGGUAUCCGUGCGCUUGCGGAUUUUUCUGUUUGCGUUUAAAAUACCCAACAAGCUUUCUGGCGCCGUUGCCGGGGAACGGUAGUUGUGCUAGUUUCGAACCAAGUCGUCCGUGUAUCCUUUUUCUUUUCCUUUUUUACCACACUCACCUUAUCAUUUUCACAAUACCACAUGGAUUUCACUCUAAGCAUUAAUGAGCAUGGAAUUUAUUUCAUAGCCACUUCAUUUACUCCAUGCUCAUAUGCAACAUCUUCACAAUCCAUUGGUCUCUCCAACAUCACCACAUUCGAGAUCUCCAACCCUCUCAUCCUUUCUAUUUAUAAAAACUUUAAAAGGGUGGUUGUCGAUGCAUAUGUCUAUAAUAAAUUUUGCAGAUCUCGUUGAGUUGAUCUUGAUAUAGGUUGGUGUUGGAGGGGAAACCACUUUGCCGACAUAAAUUGAUGGUUUCCCAAGGACAAGCUUAGUGUCCUAAAAUAAGCACUGAUCAGAUUGUAACAUGAGCUUUUAAUUAUUUGCAGCAUUACCUUGUGUGUUGAGCAUAUAAGGAUAAUUGUAAAAAUAUUCCUUCGGGUAUUCUUGUCACUAACUUUCUAGGAUUGGAGCAAGAAGAUCGGAUGAAUGACAAGCACAAGGUAUGUCCAACCAAUCAUCAUACAACAUUGAAUUAAAUUCAUCCAAACUUGAAUUUUGCAAAAUUCAAGCUUGGGGGAGUACUUUACAUAAAAACAUCCUUUGCCAUGUUGCUAUGUUGGUUGUCCCUACCUUUGAGACAUGCUCAAUUUGUUAAAUACUAAUCACACUACUUCAUCUCCACUUGAGUAGAUCUCUAUAAAUGCUCUCAUGCUACCUUUAUUUGCUUUAGUAUAUGUCUAGGUUUGGAGUACUUUCAUUUAUCUCUUAAUUAAGCAUGGUGCUUAGUUUAGGAAUCAUGAUCUUACUUCCAAAGGAUUUUAAAUUAAGCAUGAUGCUUAGGUUAAAAUGCCCUCCUAAAUCAAAUUAGACAUGGUGUCUAGGUUGAUCUUUGAGCCGAUAGUAUGCUAUAGUAGAUAUUGGAUAUUUUGUUGGACUAACCCCUGCAGGAAAACUUUCAAUAUCGACCUGGGAAAUCCUGAGAUAAACUCACAUUGGAGACGAAGAGAGAGACACAUGAUGGUUAACAAUUUACACAAGGAAGGCAUAGCUCACAAGAGAUGAUCCAUGGAGGGUGCCACAAACACGAUGCACAACCGCUAAGAGAGGAAAGCUUCCACAAGGAGAUACCGUACCAUCACUCUUCAAGUAAGGUAACAUCUUAAGGUACUUGACUAUGACUUUUAUAAGCUUCUCCUUGGUUCUAGCAUUCACAUGAAUAAAAGAGACAAACAUGUAUGAUUUACAACUCUAGAUUAACCAACCCAAUCGAUUCAACAUGUUUAGUCCUUCCACCUUUGUGAUCCCACACUCCUAAUCAUAUAAGCUAAAAUGUUGCACACUCAAUCUUUGGAAGAUAUAUAUAAAAAACAUAAGUAUAGAUAGAUUAUCUUUCCAUAAGGUUGAGCAAUCUAAUCUGACAAAUGUUAAAUACUACACUCAUGAUUUUAUUAUCCAUCAACUUUGUCUUGCUCACUAUGCUUGAGGUUAGAGAAGAACAAAUACACUUUUGGUUCUAUUGGUGUUUUCCACCAACAGGGCCCAUGCACUUGAUCUCUGCAUUGUCUCUAUGAGUAGGUACACUUCGAGCAAAAUAUGAAGGAGUUUUACAACUCCCAGACUCAACCAAGUGAAGAACCUAGAUCUACGAGCACAAACACACUGGUGAGACUGGACACUCAGGCAAUCACUGUCCUGGGAUGCUUGAGGACGUAACUACUGGAGCAACCCCGUCUUGGAAGUAAUCACUGACCUUCUGCCGGUCAAGUGAUACAAUCCAGGACGUCCCUUCAUCCCGAUCUCCAUCGGCAUGGUGGACUUCCUAGAAGCACUCUGCAACUUUGGCUCCAGCGUCAACAUUAUGCUCCGGGUACUCUAUGAAAAAUUCUUUACACAUCCUUUCCUAGAAACAACCAUGUGUUUGCAGCUUGCAGAUCAGACACUAAGUUUCCCAAAGGGAAUAUUGAAGAACCUCUACGUCCGAGUUGGUACCUUGGACGACCCAGCAGACUUCAUGGUGAUAGAGACUGGUAGUGAUGAGAGGGCACCCAUCAUCCUAGGGAGGCCAUUCCUGAACACCUCGGGAGCUAUCAUCUACGCUAGUGCUGCCAAGAUCAGUUUCUACAUCAAGGGAAGGAAGGAGGCGUUUUCCUUCAAGAACAAGACUACACAAAUCCCAGAGCAAUCCUGACAUGAACCAAGGAAAGGACCAACAGGAGGAACAGGAACAAGCAAAUGUGGACCGAGUCAGCUAAGGUAGUCAAUGCUGUUCAAGGUGGUCAAGAUCGUCGACUUAAGUCACCGUCCCUGACCAAAAAGGACGACAUAGUCACCUAUCAGCUCCUGUUCAAAACCAUGCCCCUAAAAACAACAUACAUUCAGCUCCAGAUGAUUUAAAGGUUAUUGACAUGGGAGAAGACAAGUAUGAUCCAUCCAUCAUCCUUAGGAGACCGUUCCUCACCACCGUUAAAGCAAUCAUCUACAUUGGAACUGGAGAAGUCCACAUGCACUUCCCCUCUGAGAAGGUACGCUGCUAUUUUACUGACCCUAACUAUAUAGUUGAAGACUCUAAGCAGGUCAGGGCAAGAAGAAGAUGACGCAACCGCAACCAAAGGAGGCAAAUCAUCAAGGACGGAUGGGCAGACUAUGAAGGAGAAGUCGUAAGGUCUGAAGACAUACAGCUUGAACAGAACUGUCCUAAGGAGACCGUAGCACCGAGUCAGGUGUGGAGAGAGAAGAUAGUUAUACAUGAAGACCAAGCGCUGCCGGAACCACCGACUACGCCAUCCAGCGAAUUCCACGACAACUAAGAAAACGGAGAGUCCCGUUCGGAGGACUUAAAAGCACCAAACGCCUUGCCAAGAGGUAAACUUGGUAGUUAUCUUUUUCCUUUCAAAUUAUUUAAAAUAGUUUGCUUAGUUAAUCAGGUUCACAUCAUCUUAAAAAGAAAAUAAAAAUGUUAAAAAUAGUAAGCCCCAUGUGAGUAUGCUCAUGGCAUAAAACCCAUAAGUACAUUCACUGUGGUGGCGUAAAAAUAAAUAUAUCUUCCUGUCCUAUAAAAAUGAAAAUAUAAAUAAGAUUAUGAUCCUACUAAAGAGAGUAACAUUUAUUGAGGAGGCUCAACAUGAUAAAGGCUAGAUAUUUAUGCUAACACUUAACUAGUUCCACAAAGCUUUGUUGUCUAUUUGAGCUCCACAGAAUUUAAGGAUCAAAGAAGACUAGCAGACGGAGGACAUCCUAAUCGCUAUCAGGGUGCUACCGACAUUCAAAUACACCUCCGCCACCUGCUAGCUACAUCAGAAGAAAUUACAUCAAAAUCCAGCUUGGGGGAGAGCACCCCCAUUUAUCCAGCUAAGUAUUCUACUCACGUUUAUACUUUACUCUAUUAAUAAAAAGAUGCAUAAUCAUAAAAACCCAAAUAAAGAUUUUGUGCUUAUAUAUAUAUCUUUGCUUAGCUUGCUAAAUAAAUAAAUAAAUAAAGUUUGCUAUGAACCCUCAUGAUAAGCUCUCACAUGGAAAUGAUGAAUAGUUGCUCUGCCAUGAUUAGUUAUCAAAAUUGAAAUCUCUCUCAAGUUUAGGCAUAACUGUUAUUAAUUAAGAUUUGCUCUAAACCUGAACUUGUGGAGAGAGUACUUGAUCUAAAGUCUAAGUCGUUAACGGAUAUGAUAUGGGAAGGUUGAGCUGCUGUUUAUCUGUUCCUAGAGAUGCUAGAAUUCUGGAGAAUUUUAUCUUUGAAAAUCUUUAAAAUGUUGCAUGAUGAGUUCCUGUAUGAUGAGAGUUUAAAUUCCUACCACAGCCAUAUAUACAUGCUUGCUAGACUAUGAACCACACAUUUACUUUACUACUUAUGAGCAUUGAGUGUGGUCAAGCUGUGUAGACCCUUAGGAGCUUGUCAUGUGGUUAAAAUCAAGAUUCACUUGCACGUUCACUCAUACAUGCUGCUUCUACUCCGGAAGUACGCAUCCACAUAUAUCCAUCCAUUUCCAUCUCGAGAACCACCCAAAAAUAUUCUACUCCUAAUCCGGGAGAGAAUAGCCAAAAAUAUUUCUAUUUUUCCCCUAUGAAAUAAAUGCUCAAGUUAUCUUGUUACUACCACUUGCGAUAUUAUCUCAUGAGAUGAGUGCUCUAAUAAAAAAAAGAAAAAAAAAAGAGAUACGAGGAAAUAAAAAGGGGCAAGUGCCCGAAACCUCGAAAAAAAAAGUGAGACGAGAGGUAAAAAUAGACAAGUGUCCGAUAGUAGAAUUAGGGGUACAAGAUACCCACCUGAGAGAAAAGAAAAAAAAGAAAAAAAAAGAAAAUAUAGAGCAUCUCAUUCUCCUCAAAAAGUUUCAAAAGAGCAAGAAAGGUAUGUAUCCCCUCAAAAGAGCACAAGUAGAAUUAGACUUUCACCAUUGUUUUCACCAUUGUUAUCACCAUCAUUACCAUACACCAUUCAUUCGCCACACAUUCACAUCUUGAUUUGACUUAUUGACUUGUUCUUCUGGAUCCAUAGUUUGACUAUGCAAUAAAUGUCUUGUAAGUAUGUAUUAGCUGUCUCCCACCUAUGAGCUCCAGAUAUCAAAAGCCUUAUUAGAGUAGGGUGAGAGAGAAGGCAAUGUCACUAUGCCUUAUACUACAAAUACCACAUACUUUGAGAGAAGGCAUAUACCAUUACUGCCUUGGUAAGGAUCCAGAAAUACCUCAAAAGAGAGACUAGAGAGAGUCAUACAAGGAAUCUCUGAGUUUUAUUUGAAAAUCUGCAAAAACUCCAGAACUAUAGCUGAUCAAGAAUAAGAGACAUGGUGCUUGACUAGACCGUUCUAUCUUUUAACUACUCAAGACAGAAGUGUCGGUUACAAGUCCCAUGGUGAAAGGUAAAUGAGUAAGUUUUAAGUCUUAACAGUUCACUCUAACCAGAGAUGAGAUCUUGUUUAAACGCAUGUGUAUCCUUAAGUUAUGAAACCACUGCAGAAACUCUUGAGUUAAUCUUUACUCAGGGACGAGCAAAGGUUAAGCUUGGGGGAGCUUGUUGACGGUCCUCAAUGCACAUAUUUAACCAUCAAUUAAUCAUAGAAAAGUAUCCAAAUGCAACCAACACCUAGACUUAGGGUUUUAUCUGAUAGAAUUCCACGAGUUUGGUGUUUGUCUAUUUCUGCAGGGGGUUAUCAGGAAAUAUGGAGGAAAGGCCCACACGUCGGGUUUACAUAGAGAUAUUAACGUGCCGAGCAAUUUUCUAUCAUCUAGAAGACUCCAGAAGCCACGGGACCGAAGCGGAAGCCGAGAGGCCUUAGGGACAGGGCGCCCGCCCUAGUCUUGAGGGCGCCCGCCCUCCCCCCUGGACCAAUCAGGGUGAAGUUCGGGGAUCAUGCUCCACCGACCUAAUACUUCAAGGAAAACCACACGAUCAAUGUCGGUUUGAUCCGACGGCCCAGAUUCACUUGAAGGGACUAUAAAACUAGACCCCCCUGGCCCCUGGAGAUCAUACCUCUUCUACAGAAUCAAAGCUAGGGUUUCAAUUCUUCAUCCAAGUAGAGAGGAUCCCUCUAGUUCUUCUAGUUCUACCUCUAGUUCAUCUAGAUCUAGUUCUAGUUCAUCUAGUUCUAGUUCUAGUUCUUCUAGUUCUAGUUCUAGUUAGUUUUAGUUGUAAUCUAGAAAAUAGGGAGAGAGAAGAGGAGAGCGGAGGAGGAGCCGGAUCUGUCGGAUCUUCCUCAACAUUAUACUUUUGCAGCAACUGGUUCGUUCUUCAUCGUUAUCCAGGUUCUUCAAUUCAUAAUUCCUGAGUUCUCUAAUUACUUUUAUUUACAUUCAAGUUAUUUAUUGGAUUCCCGCUUGCAUCAAGUGCUCUAGUCUUUAUAACGCUAGAGUAGUAAUUAAUAGAUUAGACGUGGUGUUUAGUCUUGCGAUUACCUGGAAUUGCACCCAAUCCCACGGAUUGUUGUGGUAGCCCUAGGGUAGUGACAGCCCUAACGGUCGACGUAUUCCACCACGUUCGGAUUGGUGUUUGUAGGACCGUAGUCAGACCUUCCUAGCCCCCUUCUCAUCUCUUUCUGUGGUUAGUGCUCUGAUGUCCCGAUAUAGAUAAUCUUGAAGUAAUUCUUGAUUCUUAGAUCAACUAGAGAACUCUCAGGAAACUUCCUCUCUUCCCAUCAAAAAUAAUUAUAUAGUUAUCCUUGGGCGAUCUUGGAUCUUAAUUAGUACACUCACGUUCUCUGUGCAAAAUCGAUACUCUGGAAUACUCCCGGGUGAAGGCUACAUCGGUAUCCGUGCGCUUGCGGAUUUUUCUGUUUGCGUUUAAAAUACCCAACAAUGCUUAUGUUAUGCAUGUGAUUAAUGCAACCAUAACACUGGGGUGUUACAUUUGGCGUAUCGACAAAACAAUUUUUGGGUUUCAUGGUGCAUCAGAGGGGGAUUGAGAUUAGGAGGAGAUCUGUUGAUGCAAUCAACAAAGUAGUUGCUCCUACCGAUAAAACUGAGCUUCAGUCCUUGAUCGGCAAGAUUAAUUUUAUCAGACGAUUUAUAUCCAAAUUGUCGAGUAAGAUUCGAGCUUUCAGCCAUUUGCUUAAAUUGAAAGCCAAUCAAGAAUUUGUAUGGGGAAAAGAGCAACAAUUGGCUUUGGAUGAAAUUAAGAAUUAUUUGGCAAAUCCUCCAGUAUUGGUUCCACCUCAGCAUGGAAAGCCUUUUAGGUUAUAUUUGUCGACCGAUGAUGCGGUUAUCGGUUCAGCUCUCAUUCAAGAAUUUGAAGGAAAAGAAUGUGUAAUUUAUUACUUAAAUAGGAGAUUGGUAGAUGCGGAGACAAGGUAUUCGGCUAUUGAAAAAUUAUGCUUGUGCCUGUCUUUUCUUGUAUUAAGUUGAGACAUUAUUUGCUAUCGGCCGAAUGUACUGUCAGAUGCAAUGAUGACAUGGUCAGAUACAUGUUGUUGAUGCCGAUUAUGAGUGGUAGAAUCAGCAAAUGUAUACUAGCAUUAUCAGAAUUUGACUUACGUUAUGAAUCGGCUAAGGCAGUUAAGGGACAGAUCGUGGCCAAUUUUGUUACUCAGCAUUGUGGUUUGGUGGGUGCUUUGGAGAUUGCUCAUUGGACACUCUUCUUUGAUGGAUCUACAUGUGAUCAAGGGGCAGGUAUCGGCAUAGUAUUGAUUUCUCCCUGGGGAAAGAAAUUUGAAUUUUCUUUGCCGAUUGUUGCUACAUCAACGAACAAUCAGGCUGAGUACCAAGUCCUAAUCAAAGGAUUAGAGUUAUUAAAGGAAGAUCAUGCCGAUGCUGUCAAAAUCUUUGGAGAUUCUAUGCUUGUCAUAAAUCAAUUGGCUGGGAUUUACGAGUGCCGAAGUGAGAUUUUGAUAGCAUAUUACGAAAGGUGUUUACAAUUGUUAAAGGAAUUCAAGGAUUUCCGCUUGGAGCAUAUUCCUCGAUUACAUAAUGAAGAAGCUAAUCGGUUAGCUCAACACGCCUCAGGAUAUCAACCUAUCUUGGAAGUGCUAUCGGUAAUCAGUAUCGAUGACUGGAGAAAAGAAAUUAUUGAUUAUCUAAAAGAUCCAUCUAGGAAAGUUGAAAGACGUGUUAGAUUUCAAGCUACUAAAUAUGUACUCCUUGAGGAUGAAUUAUAUUAUCCAACAAUAGAUGGAGUGUUGCUUAGAUGUUUAAGUAAUGAUGAAUCCAAAAACUUGAUGGGUGAAAUUCAUGAGGGGGUAUGUGGAGCACAUCAAUCGGCUUUUAAAAUGAAGUGGAUGAUUAGAAGGAAUGAAUAUUAUUGGCCGACUAUCCUUGAGGAUUGUUUCAAAUAUUUCAAAGGGUGUCAAGGAUGUCAGAAGUUUGGUAAUAUUCAAAGGGCACCUGCGUCAGCUAAGAAUCCUAUUAUUAAACCUUGGUCAUUCUGGGGUUGGGCUAUUGAUCUCAUCGGUCAAAUUUAUCAACCAUCGAGUAAAGGGCAUAAGUUUAUCCUUGUUGCCACUAAUUAUUUCACUAAGUGGGUUGAGGCUAUCCCUUUUAGGAAAGUAACAUCGACCAAUAUGAUUGAUUUUGUGAAGGAACAUAUUGUUUACCGAUUUGGCAUUCCUCAAACAAUCACUACCGAUCAAGGUACUAUGUUUACAUCAGGAGAGUUUGAUGAAUUUGCAAUCGGUAUGGGGAUUAAGGUGAUGAAUUCUUCUCCUUACUAUGCUCAAGCCAAUGGAUAGGCCGAAGCUUCCAACAAAGGGAUUAUUAAGCUUAUUAAACAGAAGAUUGAGGAAAAUCCUAGGCGAUGGCAUACUCUGUUAAAUAAAGCCUUAUGGUCAUGUUGGAUGGCGUGUCACGGUGCAACCAAAGUGUCACCUUAUCAAUUGGUAUAUGGACAUGAUGCAGUACUACCUUGGGAAAUUAAAACUAGUUCUAGGUGGAUAUUUUCUCAGGAUCAAUUAACUACUGCUGACUAUACCACUCUGAUGAAAAAUGAGUUGGAAGAUUUAGCAGGACAUCGGUUAAGAGCUUUAAUUAGCAUAGAAGAAAAUAAAAAAGAGAGUGGCUAAGUAGUAUGAUAAAAAGGUAAAAUCCAAGGAGUUUGCUGAUGGGGAUUUGGUCUGGAAGUUAAUUCUACCAAUUGGGACUAAAAGUUCAAAAUUUGGAAAAUGGUCUCCUAAUUUGGAAGGUCCUUAUCGGAUAAGUCGAUCUGCCCCAGGCAACGCUUAUAUUUUAGAAAGUCUCAAAGGAGUUGAAUUCCCCAGGGCAUUAAACGGAAAAUAUUUAAAAAGAUACUACCCCAGUAUCUAGGUUGAUGCAUAAAAGUUUAAGUGCCGAUACCAGUCCUAUCGGCUGAACAAAAUGACAAUGUAUCUGGAUCAACGCAUUGGAAGUUUUGGUGCCAAUAACAAUCCUAUCGGCUGGAUCAAAUGCUGAUGUUUUCAAAAGAACUGAUAAGCCAUACUGCCAAUGAAGAGAUUUACAAGUUUAACAAAGUUUGGAUAGCCGAUAUCGCACGCAGGCUAAUUUGAUUAGCUUCCUCUAUCUCUUUGGUAUCUUCAUCGGCUGAGCCUUCCACUGGUUUCAAUCUCUUCUUUAUUUGCAAUGCCUUGCGGGCUUGGGCAUCCCUCUCCUGCUGAAGAUCUCUGAGUACGUCGGGUAGUUGACUUUCCUCCUAUUGAGCUUGGGCCAAAGCUUCUUCUACUUGUUUGAGUUCAGCAAGCAGAGCCUCUCUCUUUGCCGAUAAAUCAGAGAUUUUCUAUUUUAGUUCAACACCUAAGGAUUGCAAAAUGUCGAUGCUCUUAUGCUUCUCAUCGGCAGCACGCUUCACUUGCAAAAUCUCUUCUUUGAGUUGGGCGUGGGCGGUUCUAUCUGCAAGGCGCUGAACGGCCUUUUGAUACUAAAGUUGGCGGCUCUCCAGAUGGGUGGCUUGAAAAAGUAUCUCCACAACAUCGGCAGGAAUCUUAUCGCGAAGACCCUUAAAGAUGGUUUUGGCCAGAUCAGAGUCAUCUACUAGCAGAGUUGUAUCCUGCUGCAAUAGAGCUAGUAAAUUUUCUAGCUUGGAUUUGAUCUCUACCGGUGCAAUUCCGAGCGCCAUUGAAGAACUUGCCUCUUCACUAUCAUCAUCAUAGAUGUCGAUGGCAAAGGAGAACAGGCUAUCAGGAGAGUCUUGUUCCUAGAAGCAGAGGAAAAUAAAUUAACUAGAGUUAAGUACCGAUAAUACAAUGUCUAGUGGAUCGGGUAAGUUUACUUGUUUCAGAGCAAUUUCUUGUCUCUGACUUGGAGAUGUGGCUUGCACUAUGACUUGAUCGGUUGGGGCUGCUAGUGGAAUAUCUUCAACUGAAAUUGCCAAAGGUGAUGAUGGUAUUUAUAAAGGGUCCAUCGGUAAUAAUUUUAUGAUCGGUACUUUACCUUGAGGAGAGAUGAUGAUCGUCUGUUCAGGAGGAACGGCCGAUGAAGUACCUACGUCAACUGGAUCGGUGACCUGCUCAGAUACAUCGACCAGGUCUGCUUGCGUCUGGGGCACUGGAUGAGGUGGAGAAGAGGGUGCUGCUUGGAUCUGGGGUUGUCACACCCAUAUUUUAAGAACAAAAUAGGAUGCAUAAAAGACUCAUAUGUGCCCCAGGAAUAGUCGCACACAUAAGUAGACAAAUCUCAAAUGUACCAUCGCAGUGUUUAUUACAUAGCAGAACAUAAUAAAUCAUAUAGUCUUAUACAUAAAUGAUAGCAAGAUGUAAACAACGCUCUCGACGGAAGCUCCACAUAGGGACACUAUUGACUGGUUGACUCCAAACCUAGUACUCAUAACGGUAGUCCUCAUUCCAAUCAUCAUCAUUAGCAUAACCUGGGUGUUGGGAAAUUGCAAGAGUGAGCACAUAUCGUACUCAACAAGUAUAACCAGGGGUUCAUGAGGCUCAAAUAGCUGACGCUGGUUUGACUUUAUUUAGCUUUUAAUAGUGGAUAGCAUAUUCAUAAUUUAAAUAGCAAUUUUCAAGGUAGCAUAAAUAAUCCAUUAAUCACAUGAUCAAGUGUAAGCAUAAUUAAUCUCAUAGCAUAAAUGAUAAUCAAAUGAACAUAAUAACUUAACAAGCUCAUCGUCGUCGUAGCAAGAACCCCCAAGGCCGCUCAUAACCGUAAGCAUGGCUAGUAUACCAGUUUUAACACCCUGCAGAGGUUGUACAUCUUUACCCAUGAGUCAUGAUUUACCCUUUCGCCCGAGGUAGCUAGUCUCUUCACCCCCUUCCUAGGGAGGUCGGCAGGGAUCACUAUGAAGCCUUUCAAAAGUUUGUCUAACAUGUUAGGGCCGCAAGGUUUCCUUUGCGCGCAGAUAUAGAUACCCCCUUCCGAAUGGCACAAUGACGCGCAACCUAUACACAUAGGGAUAGGGGCUCGCACCCAAAACGGUUCAGCCCCUCCGCCCUUUCGGGUCAUGCUGAGCUAAAGCCACAGCCAUUAUAGCCCUCAUGGUUGCACUGUUGUCCCGGUGAUCACUUACAGACAAGAUCUCAUAUAGUUAUUUGUCAUCAUUUAACGUUCAUUGCAUAGCUAUUAAUCAUCUUACAAGAUCAUGGAUUAUAUCAAGCACUAGCACAUCAGCACCAAAUGCAUAUCAAGUAGGUAACAAGGAAUCCAGGUAACAAUCAUCUAUGAUUUUGCUAAGGUCGACAAUGUGAUAGCAUGCAUAUGAUAUAUAUGUGUAGUUAUAAGUGAAUAGGUAACAAGGAUGAUCCCAAGUUAUACUUGCCUUGAUCAAAGCUCUCCUGAGCCUACUGGUCUUCAAAAGCUUGGUCUUGAUCACCAAUGUACGGCUCACCGUCUAUUUCCAAACAUCAAUCAACAACAUGCAAUCCAAUGUAGACAAUCAUACACAAGGCAAACAAGCUAUAAUUAGAACAUUACACCAACUGUAAGAAAUCAAAGAUAAAAUUUUAUGAAAAUAUUCUACGCAGCGCUACGAUCACACAAACGUAAAGUUCACGAAAAUCGGAAUUAAAACGUAGAAGAUAUGAAUUUUCUAAGAUUUCCUAUAGAGAAAUAAUUAACUAAAUGCUACUGCAGAAAUAAAAAGUUUCAAAACAGUAAACUAAAACUUCUAACAUGUAGAGCUCGUAAAUAUGAAUCUAACGAAAUUUGAAUGGACAAAAACAGAGUUGAAAUGAAUAUUUUAUGAGGAAAAUAAACCCAAUGGCAAAACUGUAAAUACUGAAAAACGCCUUUUUCCUCAAACCGACUAUAAGCUUUUAGAAUCAAAACACGUAAUCUCCUCUAGGGCACCAUGGACUGCGGGUCGAUUUCCAAAUUCACCAGGGGAUCUUUAUGAAAAAGUGCAGCGAAGGGGUAUGUUCUGUUUUGGGCCCUUAGAUCUUGAUCCAACGGCUCGGGCGCGUCCAGGGGGCCAGUGGCGGCGGGCCGGCCGGAGUUGCGCCUCCCCGCGGCGGCGCCAUGGGAGUGCUCGCCGGAGUCCACCGAUUCCUUGAUUCUGAGCGCCAAUCAACGAAAGAAAAACACCGGGAGGGCGAGAAGCUCACCGCGACCUCGCUGGGACCCUUUGCUUGGUCCGAGAGGUGAUGAAAACAGCUCGCGGCGUGCGGCGGUGGACUUGGCUCUCGGCGAGAUUCAAACCGUGCAUGGGCUGGCGUCUAGGGCUUGGUUUCCGUGGCGAGCGUGGAAAACAACAUGCGGGGCGAUGCUGGGGUUUAAAUAGGGGUCGAUAUGGCAAGAAAUCUCAGAGUUUUCGGGUUGGAAAGUUAUUAGCUCGGGUCGGUUAUCCCCAACUGAGCCCUGUUCGUCCUCGGCGCGAGAAGGAAGAGGAACGGCGCCCGCCAGGUGGGGUCGCCUCGCCAGCGAGAGGGAGGUGGGGCCUGCUGGUCAGAGAGAGAAGAGGGGAAGGGAGCUGCGCUGGGCCGCGGCUGGCCUGCUCGGCUGGGCCGGGAUGGGCCGUGCGCUGGGGGACAGGGUGCUGGGCUGCGGCCUACGGCCAAGACGAGAGGGGAGAGGCGUUUGGCUGGGGUUUUCCUUUUUUUUCUUUUUUUAAUCUCUUUUCUAUAGCUUUUGAGAAGAGUUUUUAAAUCCUUUUGGAGAUAAACAGAAUACAUAGACAAAAAGCAAACAAGCGAGUAAAUAAAUAAAUUAAUUUCAGCAUGAAUGCACAACCUUGUUUCUAAACUUAUAAUGAAUUUUAAUUUUGACAAAAACAUUUUAUUUACUAGAUUAAAUGCCCACAAAAUUGCUUAAAUAAAUCAAAUUAAAUCCUAUUAUUUGAAAACCAAAUUUUGGGUGUUACAAACUCUACCACCCUUAAAAGAAUUUCGUCCUCGAGAUUGAAAGGUGCUUACUCAAACAAGUAUGAUUAUGAUUUCCUCAGGUCAUCCUCUCUUUCCCAAGUUGCCUCUGCUUCCGAUUACCAAUUCCACUGCACUUUGCACAUUCUGAUGACCUCACUUCUGGUGACUCUCUCAGUUGUCUCCAAUAUUCUGACCGGAUAUUCUUCAUAAGUGAGAUCACCUUUAACAGAAAGCUCUUCCAAUGGUAUUUGCUCCUCUGGUACACGCAAACACUUCUUAAGUUGUGACACAUGGAACACAUCAUGCACACCAGAUAAACUUUCAGGAAAUUCUAAUUGAUAUGCUACUUCUCCACGCCUUUCCAAUACUUUAAACGGACCAACAUACCUUGGAGCUAGCUUUCCCUUCAUAUUAAACCUCUUCACACUCCUCAUUGGUGAUACUUUCAGGUAUACAUAAUCACCCACCUCAAAAGCCAGCUCUCUCCUACGCGUACCUACAUAUCUUUUCUGACGAGAUUGAGCAACUCUCAAGUUAUCCCGAAUGGACCGCACUUGUUAUUCUGCAUGUCUAAGCACAUCUGUCCCAAACACCUGAGUUUCUCAUGUCUGAUUCCAAAACAAAGGUGUCCUGCACUUCCGACCAUACAGUGCCUCGAACGGUGCCAUCUUAAGACUUUGCUGAUAGUUAUUGUUGUAGGAGAAUUCUACAUAUGGCAAACUCUUGUCCCAACUAGUUCCAUACUGCAAAGCACAAGCUCUCAACAUAUCCUCCAGUAUCUGAUUGAUCCUCUCAAUCUGUCCAUCUGUCUGUGGAUGAUAUGCUGUACUAAAAUUUAACUUUGUUCCCAAGGAAUCAUGCACUGCUUUCCAAAAGUGAGAUGUGAAUUGAGUACCCCUAUCUGACACAAUCUUCUUAGGUACUCCAUGCAAACAAACAAUUCUCUGCAUAUAUAACUCUGCCAGUCGGUCUCCACUAUAUGAAGUUUUGACAGGUAUGAAAUGAGCAACUUUGGUUAAACUAUCCACUAUCACCCAUAUUGAGUCAUACCCUCCUUGUGUAUGAGGUAAACCCACUAUGAAAUCCAUGCCUACUUCUUCCCACUUCCAUUCAGGAAUCUUCAUUGGUUGCAACAGUCCAGCUAGCCUCUGAUGUUCAGCUUUCACUCGCUGACAAGUGUCACACAAAGCAACAUACUCAGCUACAUCUCUCUUUAAACCAUAGCACCAGUACUUCUGUUUCAGAUCUAGAUACAUCUUAGUGCUACCAGGGUGAAUGGAAUAUGCUGACUCAUGAGCCUCUCUCAGAAUCAUAUCAUGAAUAGCCUUCACUUCAGGAACACAUAUCCUUUUUCCAAACCACAAUACACCAUUGUCAUCUAUUCUGAAUCCUGGUGCUUUGCCUAGUACCACAUUCUGUGCUAUCUCCUUUAGUUUCUCAUCUUCCAACUGUCCUUUCAAUAUCUCUUCCUCUAGAGUAGGAGUGACCUCAAUUUCCAUCGCAUUUACUACAAUUCCCCAGAUCAAAUAUGCAAAUUCAGCACACAACUCCUCAGAUUCAGGUGUCGCCCGAAGCUCAUUAGCAUAUUUCUUCUUGCUAAGUGCAUCGGCUACGACGUUCACCUUUCCAGGAUGAUAAUGCACUUCCAAAUCAUAAUCCUUUAUCAGUUCCAACCAUCUUCGUUGCCUCAGAUUCAGAUCUGUCUGGGUGAAGAUAUACUUUAAACUCUUAUGAUCAGUAUAUAUGUCACUCUUAUGCCCAAUCAAAUAGUGUCUCCAAAUCUUCAAUGCAUGCACCAUAGCUGCUAACUCUAGAUCAUGAGUAGGAUAAUUCAGUUCAUGUUUCCUCAACUAUCUAGAUGCAUAAGCAACAACUCUACCUUCUUGCAUAAGGACACAACCCAAACCCAGACGAGAAGCAUCACAAUAGAUAGAGAAACUCUUACUCAGAUCUAGCAAUACCAACACAGGUGCAGUAGUCAAUCUCUUCUUAAACUCCUCAAAACUAGCUUGACACUUAUCAAACCAUACAAACUUAGCAUUCUUCUCCAAUAGAGCAGUCAUAGGCUUUGCAAGCUUUGAGAACCCUUCAAUGAAUCUACGAUAGUAACCAGCUAAACCUAGAAAACUAUGAAUUUCACUUACAUCUGUAGGUGGUUUCCAAUUCAGCACAUCUUUCACCUUACUAGGAUCCAUUGCAAUACCACCAUGAGAGACAACAUGACCAAGAAAAGAAACUUCUUCCAACCAAAACUCACAUUUACUACGCUUAGCAUACAGCUUAUGUUCUCUAAGUUUCUGUAAGACCAAUCUCAGAUGUUCAGCAUGUUCUUCCUUGGUUUUAGAGAAUACCAGAAUAUCAUCAAUAAAGACCACCACAAACUUAUCAACAUACUCCAUAAAUACUUUAUUCAUCAUGUAGAUAAAGUAAGCUGGUGCAUUGGUCAAACCAAAAGACAUAACUGUAUACUCAUACAACCCAUACCUUGUUGUGAAAGCUGUCUUUGGUAUAUCUGAAUUCUGAAUCUUCAAUUGAUGAUAACCAGAACGCAAAUCAAUCUUAGAGAACACACAAGUGUUGACGGUCCUUAAGUAUCAAAUUUAAUUAUCAAAUAAAUAAAGAAAAGGAUCCAAAUGAAAUCAAGAUCUAGUCUUAGGGUUUUAUCUGACAGAAUUCCACGAGUUUUGGUGUUUGUCUAUUUCUGCAGGGGGUUAUCAGGAAAUAUGGAAGAAAGGCCCACAUGUCAGGAUUACGUAAAGAUAUUAACGUGCUGCGCAAUUAUCUUACAUCUAGAAGACUCCAGAAGCCACGAGACCGAAGCGGAGGCGAAACGGGGCCUGACCCUGGGCGGCCGCCCAGUUGGUCAGGGCGCCCGCCCUGCCCCUGAGUCCAAUCAGGACUCUACUUUGCGGGAGAUCUCCACCGACCUAAAGGAUGAAUCUAAACCGUACAAUCUAUGUCGGUUUGAUCCAAGGGUCCAUAUUCACUUGGAGGGACUAUAAAACCAGACCCCCUGGCCCCUGGAGGAGGGAGCCUCUCAACCCUAAUUCAUUGUUCCAUCAAGGGAGAAGAAGCCUCUGAUCAAGAUUAGAGCCACCACAUCAAUUAGAUAUCUAGAUUAGCAUAGCUACAUAGGAUUAGAACUAGAAGGAGUCAAUCUUCGAUUGGUUUCCGGCUCUGUCAAGAGGAUUCUUGGUAAUUCUCUAAUUGUGCUUCUAAUUGCUUUCUAAUUAUCUUUGUUUUUCAAUAUUAUGAAUAUGACUUUGUUCUACUUCAAUAUAUUGCUUAUGACUUUGCUCUACUUGUUUAUAUUCAAGAUUAUAUUGUUCUUAGUUUAUCAUGGUUAUGUACUUGGCUUAGUUAGAUACGAUCUAUAUACAUGCUUAGGAUCAUAUAGCGUUUAUCAAUCGGAUCCAUGGGUAAAUGAUAGAUAUUGUGUAGGCGUGGUGCUUAUACCGUAUUUAUCUGCGAUUGUACCCAAUAUGCCAGAUCGUGGGGUGGUUCGUGAUAGUGACAGCUUCAUUGAUUCUUAUAUAGUCCCCCUCUCGUGUAUUGGGCUGGCAGAGCAACAUUAUUAUAGGGGAGUGAUUGCUAUGUUUCUCAUAUUCCUUGCUAAUAUCACUAUGCAUGGGCGUAGUCUUGUCUCACAAUGAUUGCUAAGUAUGCUUGCACUAACUAUAAUAAUGCUAGACUAUAUAGUUAAGAAUAACUUAGGGAAUAUUCUUGUAGUUCAUUCUAAUACCAUGCUAAUGACUUUCUAGAGUAUCUAAUUGAGGUGCUUAUCAUAUUUAUUAUGUGGCUAGAUCAGAUUAGUUAUCCUUGUCACUAUUAUUAUUUCAUAUAUCUUUUAUGUGACACUUAUCCCUGUAUGAAGAGUUAGAUAUAAUGUUCUCAAUUAUACAUGCAAUGAUAGAUGCUCAAUCUCAUAUUCUAUUCUGUAAUCAAUAUUGAUGAUUGCUAAUCCCUUCCCAGUGGUAAAAAUAUAAAUAACGAUACCUGGAAUACUUCCCGGUUAAAAUGCUGCAUCGGUAUUAAUCUGUGCGCUUGCAGAUCCCAUUCAUUAUUUAUUUAGAAGAGCAAUUGCAUAUUUCAAUACCGCGUCUCUCAUGUCAUGCUGGGGAUGACAACUUGGCUUAAGUGGUGUGAGGGAUAGGUUUGGCAUUUUUGGCACCGUUGCUAGAUUUAGAACUUAGUCUACUUUUAGUAAUGAUGUUAAGAAUACCCAACAAGCAUUUUUGGCGCCGUUGCCGGGGAAGGUUGAUUACUAAUCAGGAAUGGAAUAAAGGAUUUUGAGUUAUCAUUCGCAUCACUAAUAUGAUUGAGCUUAUCUAUUCUCUCAUACAGUUUUACCCCGAUAUUUUCUAUUUUUAUCUUAUGCAGGGGAAUGUAUGAAUAGAAGACAUCUUCCAGGAAAUUUUGUUGACAAUCCUGAAGCAUUAUUCAAGAAGACAAGAGCCAAGCUAAAGAAAUCAUCAACACUUCAGCAAGAAGCUUCAUCCAAUCAAGAAGAUCACCGGAACUUGUCUUCAGAGUUCGAAGCCAUGGCAAACAAAUCAAUCCGCGAGUUCUCAGCUCCCACUACGGACAACAUCCGCACUGGACCUGCUGCAGAGAUCGAUGGCAACUUUGAGCUCAAGCCUGGACUUAUCAACAUGGUGCAAUCCAACCAGUUCUGUGGGAAGGCACACGAAGAUGCUAGUGCUCAUUUACAACACUUCCUGGAGAUUUGCAACACAUUCACCAUACAAGGAGUUUCCAAAGAUGCUAUACUACUUCGCCUCUUCCCAUUCUCACUGUUAGGAAGAGCGAAGCAGUGGUUCUACGCUACAAAGGAGAAGAAUACUACCUGGGCACUCUGCUCAACAAACUUCCUGGCUAAGUUCUUUCCCAUGGGCAAGACCAAUGCUCUCCGUGGGAAGAUUACAAGUUUUCAGCAACAAAAUGAUGAAUCUGUUCCAGAAGCAUGGGAGCGCUUUCAAGACUACAUCCUAGAAUGUCCCCAUCAUGGAAUGGAGAGUUGGCUAUUGAUGCAGACGUUUUAUCAUGGGCUCGGCAACAGUGCCCGAGAAACCAUGGAUGCUGCAGCUGGAGGAGCAUUCUUAUCACUUACUAUACCACAAGCCACAGCUCUUGUGGAGAAGAUGGCGUCCAAUCAAAGCUGGAAUGAAGAGAGGAGCCAGACACGCAAGAGAGGUGGAGGUAUGCAUCAGCUGUAGGAGGUAGACAUGCUGUCUGCAAAGCUAGACCUGCUCAUGAAGAAGCUCGAUGAUAGAGCUGGAGACAAGAAAGAAGUUAUGCACAUCUACGACUCUCACAUGACUUGUGAGGAGUGUGGAGACACUAGACACUCAGGCAAUCACUGCCCUGAGAUACUUGAGGAUGUGAACUACAUCAACAACAACAACAACAACUACUACUACAACCGUCCUCAACAAAAUCAAGGUUGGAAUCAACAGAGGCCUAACUACUCAGGUAAUUAUCAAGGUAACAAUUCUUACAACAAUAACAAUAAUUUUCCACCUUUGAGAGAGUUAGUAUCUAAUCAAGGAAAGCUAAUGGAUAACCUAUCUAAGAAAUUGGCAUCUAAUGAUAAAAUGCUAGAAAAUAUAAAUAAUAGAAUGGAUAAUUUCUCUACUGCCAUCAAGAAUCAAAUUAGCUUUAAUAAAAUGAUUGAAUCUCAGUUAAAUCAAAUAGCUGCUGCUGUUCCAACUACUAACCCCGGUACACCAUCACAACCGGGAGGAUUAGAAUCUGCAAAUCUUGUAGACAUGUUUGAUGCAGGUAAUUGGAGUAACCCCGUCAAUGAAUUUUCUACUGACCUUCUGCCGGUCAAGAGAGGCGAUCCAGGACGCCCCGUCAUCCCGAUCUCCAUCGGCAUGGUGGACUUCCCAGAAGCACUCUGUGACUUUGGCUCCAGUGUCAACAUUAUACCUAGGGUACUCUAUGAAAAAUUCUUUACAUAUCCUUUACUAGAGACAACCAUGUGUUUGCAGUUUGCAGAUCAAACGAUAACUUUCCCAAAAGGAAUAGUGAGGAAUCUUUGUAUCCAAGUUGGUACCUUGUAUGCCCCAGCAGACUUCGUAGUGGUAGAGACCGGAAAUGAUGAGAGAGCACCUAUCAUCUUAGGGAGGCCAUUCUUGAAUACCACGGGAGCUAUCAUCUACGCCAGUGCUGCCAAGAUCAGUUUCUACGUCAAAGGGAAGAAGGAGACAUUUUUCUUCAAGAACAAGACUACACAAAUUCCAGAUCAAUCCAGACGUAAAUCAAGGAAGAGGACCAACAGGAGAAACAGGAACAAGCAAGUGUGGACCGAGUCAGCUAAGAUGGUCACUGUAGUUCAUGGAGGCCAAGAUCAUCAACUUAAGUCACCGUGUUUGACCAAGAAGGAUGACCCAGGAAUGCCCAGCAUUUACUGCUCCAUAAAUGGAUACAACUUCUACAAGACAUUUUGUGACACCGGAUCGGGCGUCAACAUAAUGGCCGCAGUCACCUAUCGGCUUUUGUUCGGAACCAUGCCUCUAAGACCAACAUACAUUCAGCUCCAGAUGGCAGAUCAGACAUUUCGAGAAGUUAAAGGAACAGUAACUGAUGUCCUAGUCAAAAUAGACGAUCACUUUGUCUACACAGACUUUCAAGUUGUUGACAUGGGAGAAGAUGAAUAUGAUCCACCCAUCAUCCUUGGAAGACCGUUCCUCAGCACCGUUAAAGCAAUUAUCUACAUUGGAACCGGAGAAGUCCAUAUGCACUUUCCGUCAGAGAAGGUACGUCGUUACUUUACUGACCCUAACUAUAUCGUUGAAGAAUCUAAGCAGGUAAGGAAAAGAUGCAACCGCAACCAGAGGAGGCAGAUCAUCAAGGACGGAUGGGCAGACUACGAAGGGGAAGUUAUAAGGUCAGAAGACGUAGAAUUUAAAUAGAAUUAUCCAGAGGAGAUUGAAGCACCAAGUCAGGUAUGGAAAAUGAAGAUAACUAUACAAGAAGAGGAGGCGCUGCCGGAAGUACCGACUACGCCACCCAACGAACCUCAGGACGAUUAAGAAAUUGGAGAGUCCCGUUCGGAGGACUUAAAAACACCGAACGCUUUGCCAAGAGUUCCACAAGCUUUGUUGUCUAUUUGAGCUCCACAGAAAUUUAAGAAUCAAGAAGACUGGCAGACGGAGGACAUUCUAAUCGCUGUCAGAAUGCUGCUGACUUUCAAAUACACCUCUACCACCUGCUAGCUACACCAAGAGAAAUUACGUCAAAAUUCAGCUUGGGGGAGAGCACCCCCAUUUAUCACGAUAAGUAUUUCUAUCUAUCUUUAUACUUAUAUUAUUUUAGAAUAUUAAAAUACACAUAAACUAUGGGAAAACCAAAUAAAGAUUUUAUGCUUAUAUAUAUAUCUUUUGCUUAGUGUGUUUAAUAAAUAAAUAAAGUGGCUAUGCUAAUCUGUAUCUAAAUAAAACUUAAGCAUGGAUAUGAUAAAUAGUUGCUCUGCCUAAUUUGCAAAUUUUAAGUUCUCUCUCAAGUUUAGAUAUAACUGUUAUAAUUUAAAGCUUGCUCUAGACCUAAACUUGUGGGAUGAAAACUUGAUCUGAAGUCUAAGUUGUUAACGGAUAUGAUAUGGGAAGGUUGAGCUGCUGUUUAUCUGUUCCUAGAGAUGCUAGAAUUCUGGAGAAUUUUAUCUUUGAAAAUCUUUAAAAUGUUGCAUGAUGAGUUCCUGUAUGAUGAGAGUUUAAAUUCCUACCACAGCCAUAUAUACAUGCUUUUUAGACUUUGAGCCACACAUUUAUUAUUUACUGCUUAUGAGCAUUGAGUGUGGUCAAGCUGUGUAGACCCUUAGGAGCUUGUCAUGUGGUUAAAUCAAGAUUCACUUGCACGUUCACUCAUAUAUAUGCUACUUCUACUCCGGAAGUACCAUCCACAUAUAUCCAUUCAUUUCCAUCUCCAGAACCACCUAAAAAUAUUCUACUCCUAAUCCAGGAGAGAAUAACCAAAAAUAUUUCUAUUUUCCCCUUGUGAAAUAAAUGCUCAAGUUAUCUUGUUACUACCACUUGCUCAAGAGAUGAGUGCUCUAAAAAAAAUAUACGAGGAAAUAAAAAGGAGCAAGUGCUCGGAACCUCGAAAGAAAAGAAAAAGUGAGACGAGAGGUAAAAAUGGACAAGUGUCCGACAGUAGAAUUAGGGGUGCAAGAUACCCACCUGAGAGACAAAAGAAAAAAAAAGAAAGAAGAAGAAGAGCAUCUCAUUCUCCUCAUAAAGUUUCAAAAGCAAGGAAGGUAUGUAUCCCCUCAAAAGAGCAAAAGUAGAAUUAGACUUCCACCACCAUUGUUUUCACCAUUAUUAUCACAAUCAUCACCAUACACCAUUCAUUCGCCACACAUGCACAUCUUGAUUUGGCUUAUUGAUUUGUUUCUUUGGAUCCAUGGUUUGACUAUGCAAUAAAUGUCUUGUAAAUAUGUAUACUUUAUCUCCCACCUAUGAGCUCCAGAUAUUAAAGCCUUAUUAGAGUAGGGUGAGAGAGAAGGCAAUGUCACUAUGCCUCAUACCACAAAUACUACAUAUCUUGAGAGAAGGCAUAUACCAUCAAUGCCUUGGUAAGGAUCCAAAAAUACCACAAAAGAGAGACCUGAGAGAAUCAUACAAGGAAUUUCUGAGUUUUAUUUGAAAAUCUGCAAAAACCCCCAGAGCUAUAGCUGAUCAAGAAUAAGAGACAUGACACUUGACUAGACUGUUCUAUCUUUUAACUACUCAAGACAGAAGUGACAGUUACAAGUCCCAUGGUGAAGGUAAAGUAAGUAAGUUUUAAGUCUUGACAGUUUACUCUUACUCAGAGAUGAGAUCUUAUUUAAAAGCAUAUGUACCGUCAAAUUUUUUAAAAAAAUAUUGCAACAACUUAUGAUCCAUAGCUGAGUCUAUCUUUGCUCAGGGACGAGCAAGAGGUAAGCUUGGGGGAGUUUGUUGACGGUCCUUAAGUAUCAAAUUUAAUUAUCAAAUAAAUAAAGAAAAGGAUCCAAAUGAAAUCAAGAUCUAGACUUAGGGUUUUAUCUGACAGAAUUCCACGAGUUUUGGUGUUUGUCUAUUUCUGCAGGGGGUUAUCAGGAAAUAUGGAAGAAAGGCCCACAUGUCAGGAUUAUGUAAAGAUAUUAACGUGCUGCGCAAUUAUCUUACAUCUAGAAGACUCCAGAAGCCACGAGACCGAAGCGGAGGCGAAACGGGGCCUGACCCUGGGCGGCCGCCCAGUUGGUCAGGGCACCCGCCCUGCCCCUGAGUCCAAUUAGGACUCUGCUUUGCGGGAGAUCUCCACCGACCUAAAGGAUGAAUCUAAACCGUACAAUCUAUGUCGGUUUGAUCCAAGGGCCCAUAUUCACUUGGAGGGACUAUAAAACCAGACCCCCUGGCCCCUGGAGGAGGGAGCCUCUCAACCCUAAUUCAUUGUUCCAUCAAGGGAGAAGAAGCCUCUGAUCAAGAUUAGAGCCACCACAUCAAUUAGAUAUCUAGAUUAGCAUAGCUACAUAGG